UAUACUAAUUGCAGCACUUAAGGUUUCAUGCAAUUUUUGUACCUGAUCAUCUCUAGGGCCUUAUUGGUGCAUGCACAAAGUGGAAUGGCUUGUUAAGGAAGAAGCCUUUCAUUAUGGAGAUUGUAGCUCUAAUUGAUCUACAGCUUUCCAAAUUAUCUAGGAGAAGCACAAAGCAUUUUUACUAGGUGCAUAAUAAGGCCAAUGAGAGGGGCUGGCAGCACCUAGUGUGUGCCAGGGUUUGCUCUCCACUUCUCUCGUAGGUUGAGGGUGUGUGUGUGUGAGAGAGAGAGAGAGAGAGAGUCCUUGUAUGAUUUGGAAAAACUCUGGCACAACAUUGUGCCGGAUUUUGGCUUCUUGGAUUUAGACCUAUAAAAACAAAUCAAAUCUCAGAUGGUGCAUUCCAUCAAAUUAAAGAAAUGAUUUUAAAAAAUAAUUGCAAAUGAAGCUAAUUUGGAAAACAAACCUGGACAACCUUUUCCAGAAUUCCAAACAAACUAUGCCUGAGAGGAACUGUGCAUUGGGUUAAUAUUGAUAAGGUUGGAGCAACCAUAUAAAUACCUAGCCCCCAUUAUCCUGAACAAUUUUUCGACCCAUGAGUCCCUUGUAUAUGACACAGAAGGGCCAACCAAGCUACAACAUUGAUCACAGCAAAUGUCUAUUUGAUGUCUCUCAGCACUUCUGUGGUUUCAUUUUCACUAAAGCGAUGGACAAAAGAACAGCUUAUCUUUAUAUUCUUAUCUAUCAUGCCAUACUCCAUAUGUAAGAAAUUUGAUAUAAAAAGCAAAAGGUAUUCGUUUCUGUAGCAACUUCCAUUUAAAACACAUUUAAAAACCCAUAUUUCCUUAAGGAACCAUGAUCUNNNNNNNNNNNNNNNNNNNNNNNNNNNNNNNNNNGGCCUGUCUUGAUGCAUGCAUGCUGUCUCCGUGGAUAUCCAACUAUUGUGCAACCGGGGGAUGCCUGGAUUGCACAAUUUCCCCAAAAAGAGAAAAAGAAAGGGUGUUGGAAUCCUUUUAAAAGGUGAUUUCUACUGUUCCUAUUUUCUUUGGAUGAUGCAAUCCCUGCAUCUGCAGUUGCACUAACUUUUUUUUUUUUUCCUCCCUGCAUCUACGCCCCUGCUCAACUUUAGUCUAUACAUGCAAGUGUGUCCAAAUAAGCCGACCAACUUAUUUGAAAUGCAAAAUAAACACAUCUUUGGAACAAUUUCAGUUGCGAAAGCAUGGAAAAAUAUAUCAAAAGCAAAUUUAAUUAUAAAAUAUUUAAAAGCAUGGUGUUGAUAUUAGAAUCAACCUUUUCCAAUUCAAAUUUGUUGGACAAUAGUCUCUUGAUGCCACUCCCAUCAAAGGUGUUUUCACUGUGGGCAACGAUGACAGGGUGUCCUUGGAGGUGCUGGAUGAUGCUGUUCAAAAGCUUCUUAAAUUCUUCUAAGAAGAUCUCUUGAGAAGCAGGCUGUUCAAGCCGGCCGGUAGAAAGUGAUUGUAAUGCAGGCUCCACAAUGUUGCUCAUGACCUAAAAUGCAUAAAAAAUAUGGCUUGUUAUAGAAAUACAAAGCCAUAGAAACAUGUCACGAGCUUCUAAGUUUGAUGGAUCUGUGUUCCCAUGGUACGCCAUACUGCAUACCGUACAAAUUUGGUGCUGGUACAUGGUACAGAAGACGUACCGAUACUCAGUAUACCGAACAAUCUCUUAUACCGGGCAUACCAGUAUAGUGACAUGAUGGCACUGAUAUAGAACUCAGUACCAAGACAACGUACCAUGCAUGUUCCACUAUGAAGAUAUGGGGUCAUAUGCUGCAAAUAAGCAGACUAGAUGUGCUUAAUAGUCCUCGCAACAUUGAGGAAAAGUGUAAACGUAGUAACUCCUUAUCAUAUCAUAGGCAAGAUAUGAGUGCAAGUGCAUAUAGAGAUAUAUUAAGUGCUCUCAAUUACCCAAGAGUCAGAAGCUGGUGGCAUGCCAUGCUCAACCGUGAGUUGUUGAAGACCCACUGUCAAGAGCUUGUGGAGAGACUCAUUUGCCGACUCCACUGAGAAUAUGGCAAUUGCCUCUGGUUCAAAUCUUGGGCUCUCAACAAACUCCUUCAGAUCUUCUCCAUCAAUCCUCAAGAUCACGAUUGGAUCCCUUUUAAGCCCAGCUGCCAUGCCCAACAAAAUAUCAGAAAGCACCUCCUUGAACUCGGACUUGCUCGCUACUUCUCGCUUUCCAUGUGUGAAUUCAUUCAAAACCUUCAGAUAAUAGUACAGAGCCAUCAUCGCUUACGUAGAUUAAUGCACAAAGAUUAUAAGUUAAAUAAAUUCUACCCUUACUCAUUCUCCAUUUGGGAAGCUAAAUUUGCAAAUUGCAGAGAAUGUAGAAACAGAGCUAUAAGAAUCAUAUUACAAGAUGCCAGUCUAUGGUGAUCACCAUCUCAAAUCAAAAUACAGACUGAAUCCAGGCUGUUUAAUGGUGAACAAAAGAGAGCAUUACUUGAUCAUCUCAUCCAUAUGGUAAAGAAAGUCUUGCAUCGAUCCAGGCUAAGCAUGGAGUAUAUCCUACAAUAGGUCUGGUAGUGGCUAAAAUAAGCUGAUGGAUAUUCCAUUCAGUGGAUGGAUGUAGAUUAAACAUACUCUUUAGAUAUAUGCACUUGGAGAUGAUCUGCUUGUUUAGGUGCUAGGUACUUAGUUUCAUUUCUGAAGUGCAAAUCAAAAUUGAUCCACAGCAUUCUUUUGCUAAGGUGAUUUUUAAGGUUCACAGUUCAUUUGUGCUUUCACUAUGACCCGCACAAUGUGAGACAUUGGACCAAACCAAAAGGAAACAACUUGCCACAAUGAUUCUGUUCUUUUUCCAAGGGCAAAUUAUAUCCUGCACCAUAUGCAUCAACAUAACCAUGCACCAUAUUAUCCCAUUUUUAUGGGUCAUCAUGGAGCCUUCAGAUAUAAAAUGUUCUGAUUGGUGCGGUGCACGGCCAUAUGGUGCGUGCGGUCCAAGAUAUAAUAAUUUUUCUUUUUUAGGACAGGUAGAGCAUGAGUUGCAUCACUGCCAUGUAACCCUGAGAAGACAUGUUGCUGGUGCAAAAUAUAAUAAUUUUUUUAUUAUUAUUUGAGAUGCCGUUACAUUCCAAAUGGUUUGAAAUUUCGCGCAGGCACCUUCCAGAACGACCCAGCCGUGUGGUCAGGAAUUGUUGGCAGUUGGAAACCUAAGUAGAGGAUUUGUCGUUAAUCGCCGUAACCCCAAAUAUCCAAAAGCGUCCUAAUUUCAGCAGGGCCCACUCCAUACGCACAUGACGCAAACUCCAGGUGUCGGCUUGGUGGCCCUAUUAAGACUAAACUGUACAGUAGCCUAAUCAGCUGAUUCGCUCUAAUAUCCGGAUGGAGAUGGGACAAAGAGGAGGAGAAUAUUCCGAGGAGAUGGUGGUGGUGGUGGUGGUGGAGAGGGGUACCUCAGAGUAGAUGUGGUCGGAGUCCGGCGAGGUGCCCUGGGCCGAGAGGCCGAGGGCGGCGCCGAUGUUGACAACGGCAGGCUGGAGCUCCUCGAGGGAGAGCUUGCCGUCAUCGUUGACAUCCAGCUCCUGGAACUUGUGCUCCACGAAGCUGGUGAAUGCCUCCUUGUUCUCCACCAGCUUCCUUAUCUUCGUCCCGUCCAGCACCACCUUCUUCUCUUCCCCUCCCCUCCUCCUCUCCUCGCUCUUCCUCCUCCGCAACCAACUCGCCAUUUCCCCACUCCCUCCCCAACUCUAUUUAUUAAAGGUGGCAGAGAUUGAUAACAAGGAAAAGGGAAAACAAGGAAGGGUGCAGGGAGUGUGAGUCCUGUGAUCUCCUUCCUUGGCCCUUCCCCUGCCCUUAAUUAUAUCUCCUCUCCCUCUCCCUCUCUAGUUUUUCUUGGCUUUGUGCUUUGGGGUGAUUAGCGUGAAGAGGGGGACUCUGGGUUUGUGGAGGGAAAUGAGCGGAGGGAAAACACGCAACGGACAUCGGCCAGCCACUAACCCUGGGUUUGGGACACGUGGGGAUGGGCGGCUUCAGCUUGGCUCUUUUUUUUUGUUAAAUAGGAUAAAUUAAACUAAUUGAUUGUAAAUAAAUGCGUGGAAGCCAACAAACAAAAUAUUCAGCAGAGAAAGAUUUAUCAUAAAAUCAUACCAUCCAAUCGACUAUAUUAUUAAUUUUUCUAUUACAUAUAUAUAUAAAAUAAUAGCAUACAUAAUAAAAUAUAGUGUGUGUAUCAAACACCGAUAAUUUUUUAAAAAAGAAUAAAAUCAAAUAUCAGUGGAUGAUGAAUCCAUCUAAUAAAUUUUAUAUAAUUUCUCUUCGAGCAAAUAUGGAGCAUCGUAAGCAUUUGAACAAAAUAAAAGAAAAGUAGAGUCUUACUAGCAUUUCUAAUAAUAAAGCCUACCCCAUCAAAACUUUUUUUUCCUUUAAUUUUGAAGGAAUAGGAGCCGAUGCCCCCCCCCCCCUCCCAAAGAAAAAAAAAUCUGUGUUAUUUUAAAAUUUUUUUUGCAUAAAUAUCUUUCUAAAUAUCGAAUUUUAUAAAAAUAUCUUUCCAAAUUGAUAUUUACAUGUAUACCAUCGUAAAACACUUAUUUUACUAUUUUAUUUUUUUAUCUUUAUUUUUGCAUAUGUACUUACACCAUCUAAUGCUAUUAAAAAAUUAACGGUUUCAAAUAAAAAUGAUGAAAAUAUUGUUAAUGAGUAGAUGUGCAAAAAAAAUAUUUAUGAGACAAUCAUGGUGAGAGACAAAAAGUAAUUUCAUAAUUUUAUAUUAUUUUUAAUUAAAAUAGAUAUAGUUUUUAUUAACGGCGUUAGAAGAAUCGUUAUAUUAAAAAAAAUUUGUGCAAAAAUAAUAUUUUAUAAUAAUAAAAAAUAAAUAUAAAUUUUUAAAAAUAUUUAUAUAAAUUUAAAUUUUUAGAAAGAUAUUUAUUAAAAAAAAUAUGUGGAAGUAAAUCGUGUCAUCCUCCAAAAGGGGUGGGAGAACAUAAUUGCCAAAUCGUCCCUUGUCGCCAUUCCCAACCAUCCCUAUCGGUGUGUGGGGAAAAAGAUUAUUAUUUGCCUACCAGCGCGUGACCGCAGUGCAGCGUUGGGUGGAUGAGAGCUGGCCGCAAUGCUAAUGGGAUGGACAAUAUAGUUUGAGCCCAUAACUCACUCAUAAGGACCUUUCUAGCAUUCUCUCUUCCAUGGAAACUUCUUCUCUGUCACCACUAAAGUGGUAGCCCAAUGGGAGCAUGGCCUUACUUCCAACCAAGUGGUUUCGAGUUCGAAACGCAUGGGCGUCGAUUAAAUUGUGGAGACCGGAUGCUCUAUGCUUGAACACGAAGUCUAGAAGAGCGUAUCACUCUGCUGGUAGCUUCGGUGGUGCCCAGAUGUGACGUACUCAUACGUGGUAUUCGUGCCAGAGCCCAGAAAGGUAAUCGAGGUGGGGGCCCAGUGGAAACUACUACGCGGGGGUGGGCUUGUCCCUUUGUCCCCCCCUUCCUCUUUUUUUCAGCACAAAAAAAAAACUUUUCCCAAUUUGGAUGAUUGGUGCCCCAAUCAAAUGAACAAUUAUCAAACUUCUAAUAAAAAACUUCUGGAUUAUACACUCCGUUGUAUUAAAAAUAACAUUUCGUGUCAAAGUAAGCAGCUGAUGAAGGUUGUUGACUGUGAGAAUUGUCUACGUCACAUUGGGGACAUGGAAACAUACAUACAUCUAUUUGGGGAGGUUUUGCAGGAAUGUAAAAAUCAAAUAUACAUGAAAUUGCUGGCAAUGCAAGACAUUGUUCUAGUUAUACAACAUGUCUUGCGGUAGUCAAAAUGGCAAGGUUUAGGAUCUAUUAAGACAACUUUUUUUUUUUUUUUUUCCGAUCGACUCGCUCUGAAGCUAUUUAUGAAUAUUUUUGAAUAUAAACCUCUUCUCUGAUUGCGCCAACAUUAUAACUUUAUGAGCCCGGCCCUUCCCCCCUCCAAACCGGGGGGGGGGAAAAAAAAAGUGUGCCCGUGUCACGAGACUAUUGGAUUCUUAUACCAUGAAUUCAAUACAACCAAUCCCUCCCUCCCACUGUUCCACAUGGCCUAGAUCUUUGUGCGUGCUGUAUUUGUGUUCCCUGGUAUUACAGGUUGCGUGCGCUCGUUUCGUUGCACUCUUGAGUUGCCUCCAAAACCAAAGAAGGAUCGACCUUCCUUCGCGCGAAUCUACCGUUGGACCGCGCAAUAGCCACUUCGAGAUCAGUGCAUAUGGACGAUGGAAGAGUUCGAAUGCUUUGAGAACUGUGCGGGGCUCGAUCGAACGGUCGAUGUCGCAAAAGAUGCAACCCGAAUCGCUGCCAAACAGAAGGCAACGUGCAUCCGUCUUCCGCCGCCAAGUCAAAAAAUAUAAAAAUAAAACCCAAAUCCCGCCCCCGGUCUAAUUUCCCCCCUCCCCUCCCGUCCCUUUUGUUUUUUCCCUCUCUCCCCCUUCAAAACCCUACCCCCGCCCCUUCCUCCCUUCCCUCUUCUCGCUCGCCAUGUCCGAGGUCGAGGGCUCCAGCCUCCCGCCGACCGAGCUCCGGCUUCCGUCGCCCCACCAGCACGCGCAACAGAUCCUCCGCCCCGCCUCCCACCGCCACUUCCCCUUCUCCCCCGCCCUCGCCCUCGAUCCGCACCUCCUCCCCCGCCGAUCGCCCGGACCCACCGACAAGGACCGCAUCGCCGCCCCCGACGCCUCCGUGAGUGCUGCCAUUCUCGCUCUCCACUUUCUUGCUUUGCUGCUGUCGUCUUCUUGGUUUUCUGUCUUUCGUCUAUUCUCUUCCGAUCUUUCAUGAUCAUCUGGACCUUUCUCCCUUUCACUUAUUCCCUUGUUCUGUUUCGAUCACCUCUUGAUUCACGGCCAUAUGGUUUUUGAUUUUCUUUUGUUUUUCUCUCCUUGGAAUGAUGUUCUUGGAAUUGUUUGCUUGAUGAUGACGAUGAUGAUCUAUUGUUGUUUUGAUUCCACGAGGUUUUAUAGUUUAUGGAAUCGGGGUAUUUUUUCCUCUAGGUUUUGUGAUCUGAGAUUAUAUAUCAUCCUGUGGAGAGAUAGGGAAACAUGAUGCCUUUGACGAGUCUUGUGGCGCAACACUAAAGGUCAAGAAAAAAGAAAAGAAAAGAAAGAAAAAAGGCCUUCUGAACAAAUUCUUAUGCGGUAUAUGUGUGUAUUGUUCUGGGUGACGGAGGGGAUUUUUGAUAUAUCCUAUGGUUUUCAAGUUGGCACUAUCUUAUGUUCCAGCGGCACAAUGCAUCAGAAUGUUGAUUUCAUGCUUUGAAUAUGUUUAUGAAGUAGAGCAUCCUAGGGCUGUUUUGGGCAAUAGAGGAGUUUUCACCACUGUACUGACAAAGUUAUUGUGCUAGACCCUUAGACAAAUGUCAUAUCGUGCAAGGAGAAGUCGUAGGCCAUAAGAGUAUAGCUGCUAACACUGUGUAGAUUGUAGACAGAGGUGAUGGGUGGUGGACUUUGCUGAAUGUGUAUGUGGUCUCCCAGGAGGUUGUUUUACAACUUUAAUCCACAAUUAACUGUAGACUGAAUUUAUUGAGCCUCUUUUUCCAGCAAUUUUCUUCCUUAAAUGUGAUUUACCAUCAGAGUCCAUUGGGAAUUUGCCAAGCAAAAGUUUUCAAUUGAAUUCUGAUUCUCAUGUCUAUGGAAGAUGUGCUAGAAUAUUAGAUGCAGUGACUAUUUGCAGAGGUGAACGUGUUUAUUGUUCAACAAAAGGCUAACUAACAACAGCAUACAAGAAUGAUGUGAUUGACUGACACAAUAUGAUUGAAUUUUUCAGAUUUCACAUUUGUAAAUUAUUGACAAUGAAUUCUUAGUUUUGAUUAUUUUUCCAUGUGACCUGUAGAUUUGCAGCUGCAUAUGUGCAGACUUAAUAAAUUGGUUGCUAAGUGACCUGAUUUUGUGAUGGUUACAUGCCAUUUGUUUGCUUGAUGCCUGUUGCUGUAGUCAAUAAUCAUGCAUUGCAUCAGUUUGAUCUUCACAUCUUUGAUUGCACUUAAGUAUGUGCACUAAAAGAUAAUUGAAGAGAUUUUACACAUUUGGUGGAGAUUGUAGUCUACUUGCUAAAUAUCGAAACUGCAAAAGUUCGGUGCAAUAUGUUUAUAUAGACUGUCACAAUAUAUUGUCUGCUCAACAGAAAUACUGAGAUGCUCACCAUUUUCCACUUGCACAGAAUUUUUUGGAAUAACUAUAAAAGACAUUUGAUGGAUUCUCUUGCAUAUAAUUCAUGUCAAUGUCUGCAAUAGCGUUGCAUACAUGUGUUUAUUUCUUCCCUUUGAUGUUUAACUUAGAGCUUACGAAGUAACACUUCAAGACUGCCUUUAUUAAUACUGAAAGAUUGGCACACAUAUUGGUAGGUUGCAUCAGUUUAUGCAAAAAGAAUUUGUGUGACAUGCAAAAUGUGACAAAAGUGGCAUGUGUGGAAGAACUUAAAGACUGAACUCAAAAUUAGGAAUGCGAAUAGCUCUGCAUGUUAUUUGGUCCUUGGUUUCUGUAUCGUAAAUGGGUGCAUCAUUAAGUAUUUUGAUUCUUUAUAUCUAAUGGCUAUCCGAAUUAUGCUCUGUUUGUAAAAUAAACUUGGAUGCCUAUAUAUGUUAUAGUAUGGCUAUCUAUUGUCAUUGGGUGACUCAGUGAGUUGCUUAUGGGUGCCUAGGUUAGGAUUUUGGACAUUUCAAGUGAUUUGCGUAAUAUGUCAUGUUUUGAGUUUUAUACAUAUGGAUAUAAAAUUUGUGUAAUAUGUUAUAUUUUGAAUUUUACGUGUUGGAAACUUUGGAAGACCUCAAAAUUGGCAUCUGUGCCAAGUGUCUCAGUAACACCAUGAUGAAAGCGACAAAAAUGCAAGACUUUUUUAGAAGGGUCCGUUACUUCAGGCUUUUAUUGUUCAACACUUGAAAUAGUUGAGCAGUUAAAAGUAACAAGUCAAAAUAUGAUGACUUCUAAUAAGAUCCUGAAUAAAUCAUGACAAGAGCCAGCACUAUUGGCUAACAUAAGCAGGAGACUCCAUUUCUAGGAUUUCUAGUAGUGUUGUCCAUUCAUGUCACUCUUUCACUGUCCAGAAAUAUGGGGACUCUGGAAACCCUAAAAUUUGAAGUAUCAAGCAACAUUAAUGUUUUGAUAUCAGAGAUUGACAACCUCUUAAAAAAAUUUUUUAAGGUAAAACCAACUUAUGUUAUCUUAUCUAUCAUGACAUUUUGUUUUCUGAUUCAUAUUGCUAUUGGUCAUAAUUUGGGUGGAAGAAUUCUAAGUGCUGUGCUCUUCUUUUAAUAUAGAUAUGUUUGGAAGCCCACCCCUUGACAGUUCUGGCCAUGCAGGUGCUCUGGCUAUCUAGCUUUAAUUUGUUUCUAAGCCAUUUUUGCUUGUCCUUUUUUGAGAUGCACUGCUCUUUGAGUCAACAUUCCUGCUUACCUCGUAUAAUGAAUAAAAAUUUAUUAGUAGUAAUCUUACGGUGACAACUACAGAGAGAUGCACAAGUAUGCAAGAGUACACUUCUUGAUUUGUUUUUCCCGUGAUCUCUGAAAGUAAUGUUAACUUCUGUGUCCUUUUAUGCCUUUUCUUUUGGAUCCAGCAUCAAUUAUUUGUUAUGGAUAUGCAUUUCAUUUUUUUCAGGUAAAAAAACAAACAAAUGGAACAGAAAUAAAGAAAGUUGAGAGUGGUGAAGGGCCUAUUGGACAAAGGCAGAAGGAGGAAACCGGAUCUCAUAUACUUCCAACUGAGUCAGGAACAGGUGUCAAGUGUCCACGAAAACCACAGCAUUCAAAACAUAAAAAAGCAGUACAGCAGCAGUUGCCUGGACUAGCUGAGGGUGAUUCCUGUGGAACCUAUGGUUGUUGCACUUCAUGCUUCCAUAUGCCAUAUUGGUUCCACAUAUGAUGCGGACAGUGUUCAUAGCUUAUUUGGUUGACAAUGGCAUUUAGUUCGGUUUUGCUUACCUGUUAGGAUUAAAGAGAAAUAAAAGGGGCAUUUUUGUGCUCUUACAAAAUAACAUAUGAUAAUAAUUGGCAAUGCUACAUUUGUGCAGGAAACGUUUCAAAUAUCUUAAAUCCUAGCAGCUGCCGCUACGACAGUUCUCUAGGUGAAUGUUGCAUUGAGAUAGUUCUGAGGAUGAUUGGAUCAGAAUCUUCUGUUAUUAUGUUCUUGUGAAGCACUCUUGGAUGUUUUUUGAGGGUUAAUAUGACUUGAUAGGUUUGUUGACAAAGAAAUUCGUCAAUCUGCUUCAGCAAGCUGAUGAUGGGACUCUUGAUUUGAACAGAGCAGCAGAAAUUUUGGAUGUAUGACUCUUGUGAUGCUUCAGAUGUAUCGUCUUCCAUUUUUCUAAGUUUCUCAAUUAUUGACUUCCUUGUGCCAAGAAUGAGCUGUUUGUAAGUUCUCUGGAUAUUCUUUUCAAUUGCUCUGGCAGGUCCAAAAGAGGAGGAUUUAUGAUAUAACAAAUGUUCUUGAAGGAGUAGGAUUGAUUGAAAAAAACUUGAAGAAUAGGAUAAGUUGCAAGUAUUCACUAGAAUCCUUACUUUUUUCUUCCCUUCAUUAAUUAAAGUGAUUUACUAACAAAAACAUCUGUGAAAAGGGGAAUUGAUAUGUCAAGGCCCAAGGAGAUGGAUGAUCAAGUUGCUGCAUUGAAGGUACCCAUUUAAUGUCAAAUACUGUUAAAGGAACCACUCCCUCUUCUCCUGCCCCCAUUUCUCAGUUUGAUAGUUUUUUUUUGAGUUUGCUUUUAGUUUGAAAUAACUUGCAUUGAUGAAGCAAACUUGUAACAUAUUUUAUCAGCAGCUUUUUCAUGCUUUCUGGGAGCUAGAUAAGAGAAUACACUGUUAUCUUAGUGCAUCUUGAUAUUGGAAAGACUUCCUCCUAGCUGUAUUUCUAAUUUGUUUUGCUCUAGCCUAUGUUAGAAGAUAUUUCUGAUCAUCUUAGUGGUUUCCCCAAUGAGCAUAUAGUGAGUUGCACUUUUAGUUUCCCCUGUGUAGUCUAUACUUGUCAUUAUAGUACCUCUGAAAUGGUGCUUUAUUUGGCAUGUGUAUUUGUUUGUUUUAUUUUUGUUCUGGGAUGUUAAUAUCUUUAGGAUGAUCGAGUUAAUCUUUCGUGCUCAAAUUGAGAUGUGCCAAAUGCCACCCGCCCCUUUAGCCUCGGCAUCUUGGGCCUCUCCCUCUUCAAGUAUUGGUACCUUUUUCCCAUUAAAAUAUUUACCUCGCUAAAUAUUUACCUUCUUCUAAUAAACGCAUGAUGGCUCUGUAAUUUGUUCUCAUAAGAAAACAUGCUCAGCAUUCAAGAUAACCAUGUUUGGAAAUGUAACUAUGGGUUACCUUGAUUUUCAACAUUUGACGAAUUUAGAGUCGAGACACAUUGUUUUGUAAUAUGUUCAAUAUGUGCUUGGGCUUUCAAAGGAAAAAAAAGGAAAAGGAAAAUCUCAAAUGUCAAUGAUUGGUGUGAACUAAAGAGAGCAGUUAACUUAUUCGGGAGCAAUAUUAAGUUUAGAUAUUUUAUGUCUGAUGGUGGUGAGGUUUGGCAACUUUAGGGGCUAGGCUUUUCUUUAGUGGUACUUAAUGGAGCUGGUACUAGAUUAUAACCCUGUAAUCCUAUACAGCCCCAUAUUGAUGAGUUGAUGAGUUUCACACCGUGAUGAAUAGGGAUAUUCAUCCCAAAGCUAAAAGCUCUCACUAACUUUUCCUCUUCUUGCGUGUAGACUUCCACUUAAAUAGCUGUGGAGGACAGAUGUUAGGGGUGGAGCUGUAUCAAAUAGAGUGGAAUUUAUUAACAUGCCAUAAAAAGGAUUUAAGAAGUGGAAGUGUUCAGGUAUGUGCUAGUGCAUAACAUGUAUGUCACCAAAUUGUAUAACUAUAAGGUGCAAAAUACAAAAUUAUUGAAGGGGCUAGUUGAAACAAAUAAGUCGGAGAUGGUUUCAAUUAUGAAAUAUCUAGAGUUCAAUAACUCUAAGAAAGGAUAAAACCAUAAAAAAACCCACAUACAAAGGAGGAAAUGAAAUUUGCAGUAGAGUUAUGCAGUGAAGACCCUUUUUUGGUGGUUCCAUGGAAAUGAUUGGAUUUUAGGGACAAUCCCAUGUUUUCUAGCAUUGACUUUUAUAAAGUUUCAGAUAUAUCAUUGAAAAGCAUACUGGAUCAUGAUGUAAAAUUAGAAUGGGAACUUAUAUACAAUGCUAUGGUAGACCGUCGUGUUUUGUAGUUGAUGAGUGCACUGAGUACAAUAAAGGAAUUGCACAUACAAAGUUAGUACAUGGAAGGCUGACUAUUGUCAUGUAAAUUUCAUGUUUAUAAUAGAAGUUAAGAGUAGUGGAAGGUUGGAUGCAUGGCACUUGUUCAACUUGUUAUCAGUUUUGCUAGAUCACUCACCAUUUGAGAUCUUUAAAAGCCCACGAGGAUAUUAACUCUCUUAUUUAUAGCUAUAGGAUGAUUACAGAAGCUAUGUAGCAAUGAGUGAUUAAUCAUAUAACAUUGUUCAUCAUGACUUCAAGUUACUAGUAUUGGAUGAUAACAUAGUAUUUUGCAAUUCUUAUUCUUUAGGACUCUUGAUAUGCCAAUAAAUUAAAGGGACAUUGAUAUUUUAAUGUGUAAGGCUGUUAUUGUAGGGUAGGAAGGUAGGGUGUGUGUUGUAAGACAUUGUAACUUGGAGAUGGUGAUUCGAAUGACUUUAUGUUGUAGGCUGCAAGGAUGUGGGUUGUAAUGGCAACGAUGUGCAGUGUCUAGCUGAAUGAAAAUUAAUCUCUCCUCUAGAGAAAAGUAAUGCUUAUUGUUGGAAAAGUUGUUCCUUAGGGCUAAAGUAUGAUGGGAUAUGCUUCUUGAGAAUAUCAGAUGUGGGGGUUUUAUUUUAGGACUUUUAACAUAAAGAUCAGAGUAAAUGGUGGAAAUUUGAGAUUAUGGAUGUGCUGAAGCAUUUGGCAAAUAUAGCCACUUCAAUAGAUUCUAAUAGUGCAUUUUUUUAUAUUUAAACUUGAUUAUGUAAAAAAAAUUGAACAUGCAUCAAAAGAUGAAUUUUAAAGUAGCUCUCUUGUAUUUUGCUGAUUUUCGCAAGUCCAAGACGAAAACAGUAGUCAUCGAUCCGGUUAAGUUAGUUGAUGACAUACCGAUUGGGUAAGAUGACAGCGAGACAUGUGAGCCAUCAAAUUCGGGUUUGCCUAGCGCGUCUCGCGAUUUCAGCAACAAUGAUCAUGAUAGUUCCACUGAUGUGUAUGGAGAUUAAGGUGAACAGUCUAGAGGUGGUGAUGGUUAUUUUCAAUGGCUCAUUCCAUUAACCAGUGAGGCGGAGUUCAUGCAUGCCAUGUAGAAUCAGGACCACCAUACCUGAACAAAAUUAAGAUUUUAUAAAGAGAUGCUGUCCUAUAUAAGAAGAGCAUUCAAGGGUGGUGCACAUAAGUUCAGGUUUAUGGGUAUAGAUACUUUGAGAAAUUGGAGAGUCAAUUGAGAGAAACUAUGUGCAGAGGUAGGAGGAUUAUAUGCAUACCUGAAACAUUAGAGAUCAAACUGAUGGCAAAAGUUAGACGGAAAGUGAAAGGAAAUGAGAAAAGAUUCUAGAAUACGUGAGAGAUGUUACAUCAAAUGGAGGAGCUAGAGAUUGGUGAUACAUCUGCAAGUGCAUCAGAUAGCUAUAGUAUGCAGUAGAUCUCAUCUUAUGCUGGAGGUGAAUCUUCUGCUGCAUCAAAUAGAGUAGGUAGCAUCCUUUAUCCAUAUACGAUCUUUAUGCAUUCUUCUACUUAUUUUAUUUGGAGGAUCUGACUCUGUAUAUUGCUGCUUCUAUGGAUAUGGGUAUAGCUAGAGGUUAGAACAUGAUGCUACCUCCUCCUACCCUGAGCAGGGAUGGUCGGUCUUUUAUGACUACCACAAGCAACCAUAGUAUCCGGAGUCAUAGCAGGGGACUAUCGGAUAUCAUAUGACCAGCAGAGAUGGGGACAAUAUCCAAACUGGUAUGAUAUCCAAGGUCCAGAAUACAAACAAUAUCUGGAUAUCUACGAGAGCCAUGGAUAUUUUACUUAGGAUUAGAUUUAUAAAGUGAGUUAUUACACAUUUUCCUUUUUACAAUAUCAUAGACUAUUUGUCAUUUUUUAAUUAUUAAUAUUGCUAGUUUAUCGAUCCAUGUUGACCUAAUAAGUGUUGAUACUAAUAUCAACACUCUAGUAUCACAUAUCCAUCGAAAAUUGAACUAAAACAUUAAAAAUUCACCAAAAAUAGUAUAACAAGCCUUCGAAACAAAAAAGAGAAAAAAUAGGACUUUUGGCAUCAAGAAACCGGCGAUAGUGGGGGAGAGGUUGAAGGAAAGAGCAGAGAGAGGGAGAGGGAGCAGGAGAGAGGGAGAGGGAGGAUGGGAGCGAGAGGUUGCAUUGUCGGAAAAAGCCCUCUCUUCCCUGCAUUGUCGGAACAGGGCAACAGGGGCUUCAUUCCUUUUUAUAAUUUUUAUGAUUUUUUUUAGUGAAGUCAACGGUCUCUCUCUCUCUCACUUUUCCACUCUUUCCUUCUCUCUGUCCCCCUUCCUCCGCCUCUCUCUUCAUUGUCCUCUCCCGCUCUCUCCUUCCCUUCCGCCCUCUCCCUCUCCCUCUCUCCUCCUCCUUGCCCCCUCCCUUGCUAGUUUCUCUAUCGAGUUCAGGUUGGAACGAUGUGAUAUGGUACCGUACCUUACAAUUAGCGUACUGGCAUAGGUGUUGGUUCCGAUACUACGGACCUUAUAAAAAAAUAUGGUCUUAUAAGACUAGUAAAAAAUUGAACAUACUGCAUGUAAGAUGUGUAAUAAUUAAGACAUAUGAAGCCUAAGAUACAUAAGCAAGUAGCACCAUAAUUAGACUAGUAGGAUGAAAUGAACAAGUUUUGUCAUGUCAAGUUUUCACUGUCAUCCAUAAAUCAUUUUGAAACUGAUUAAAUAAGACUUUAUGUAAUAAAAUUCUUUCCAAACAAAUAGACCACACGUACUAACUUUGUCUUUGGCAUUCAUAUACAUUUGUUGAAGUACUGUUUCCAUUUUGGAUCCUUCUUUUUAUUUUGCAAUCACUUCACAACAUGCAUCAAAAGUAUAUUUUAUGCUAGAACGAAAUGCUAUAUAAAUGUUCUAAUAAGGUGAUAAUUCAAGAUAUACAUAAUAACACAAAUAAAGCUCGUAUAAACAAAUAAACAUGAACUAAUGAGGUGUAUGAAAUAAUGAUAGUUGGAUUUCUCCUCAUUAAGGAUAGAAAGAUGGGCUUCAAACUUAAUUUGACGAGAACAUUGACUUUGAGUCAGGAAUGCAUAUGGUCCUAGGAUUGAAUAUUCAGAACUAGGUUUUACACUUUGGCUAAAAUAAGCUCAAAUGAUUAAGGAACUCCAAUUAUGUUGUGUUGGUUAGCGACACAGCCAUACAACCAUUGUAUUGUACCCAAGUAUAGCUAGUGCGGCACAUUCUGGCACUUAACCAUUUCUUGGAUUAGGUUGGCAACUUGGCAUAGUGUAUAUAGAAAUGUCGAGUAUUUACGAAAGGCACAAGGAUUUAACUUGGUCUAACUCCGCUAAUUAACACGAUGCUCAUAUUUUUUAUACUCAUUAUAGAUAAAUUUAUGCUAAAUUAUUUAGAAAGAUGUGCCAUAAGCUAUAGAUAAUUUGAUUAAUGGGGGGAAAGAUUAAAAUAUAAAUUGGAUAUUUUGAAAACACUUUAUUGGGUAAGAGGCUUAAAAAUCAGCAAAAUAUGAAUAUGUUAUAGGAAAUGUAGUUUUUGAAAAGUAAAGAUGAAAAUAAGGACCAAGCCAAGAUUGUUAGACGAGAGAUACAAUAAAUGCAAAUUAGAGAAUGCUAACAUGCAUGGUCGGCGGAACCGUCCCGAACUGCUCGGUUUGGGGCGUCCUGAGCUGUACCGGUGGUGGACUGGGACGGUUCUAACGACGAAACCGAGAUGCAAUCGUCGGAGGGGGAGAGGAAGAAUGAGAGAGAGAAAAAGCGAGACCUGUCUCUCUUCCUUCCUCUCCCUCUCCCUCUCGCUCCCUCCCCUGCUUUAUCUCUCUUUUUCUCUUUUUUCUUCUCCUUCUCCCCCUCCCCUGCCUCUAUUGUGUCGGUACUGGGUCGGCAUGGCAUGGCGCUGGGCUGUACCGACACGUACUGUCGGGCCCGAUAUCGGCACAACAGAUAAUGCUAACAAGGCUUGCAUAUUUGUAUGAUUUCAAGUGUUGGGCAAUAAGGAGGGUCCAGGAAAAAAUGUUAAGGGUUUGUUUAGAUAUUCCUAUAGGACCAGGCUGAAAAUCUUGGAGGAAUUGGGUCUGUUGGCUUAUCCAGCUUGCAUUUUCUAAGAGCCUGUCCAAACCCAACCCAUAUCCUAGCCUUUGGGCUGCCAGAAAAAAAACCUAUGGAGUUCUUUUUUUUCUUCCUAUAUGAUUUGGGCUAGCUGGGUGGUAUUUGGUUGAUACAGAAUCAUGCUUAAAUGGAUGGCCUACUUCACGAAUUUCUAUAGGAUUUUCAGCUCAAUCUCGUAAAAUUAUCCAAAGAUGCCCUAAAUGUAGUAGAAAUAGGAUAGAAGUUGUGAUAAAGGAUAUGGUAAACAUUGAAAUAAAAUUAGAUGCAGCUCUAAAUAGGAGUGCUUGGUACAUAAGGAGUCACAAUGCUUUCAUUCUGAAUAGUUGGGACAAGGCUUGAUAGUUAUGGUAUCUCAAUUAUUUUGAUGCCAGAUAAUAUUAAGUUAUCAACUAAAAUCAUACAUUAUACAUCAUAUAUUUGUGUGUGUACAAAUCUUCAAUUGAAAAUCUACUAUCAUUGUAAUUUGAUUUCUAGUCUAAAUAGUUUAUAAUUUAUAUGUUUUCUUAUGACUUUGAGAAUCUAGGGAGUAUUUUAAGGAUAUGACAAAAUGCAGAUUCUUGUAUCUUUUUAUAAAUUUGAUGCCCAGCUGUAGAAGGUUCAAGAUGAUACAUCAAUUAGAAAAAGAGGAUAAAGAAGCGACAUAAGUUUGAAUGUAGCAAAAUCAAUCAUUUACCUAAGUUUAGGUAUUUUUCCUUCAUGCACAAUUCUUUCAUUUAAAUAAAACAACUAUAAUAGAUAAAGUACUUUUCUGAAUCGAUAACUACUCAAACUAUCUUUUAUUAUGAGAUAGGGGAUGAUACUGUUUCACAUUGUAUUGCUUGUGAACUUGAUGUCAAGCUGUCCAACCUAUGAUAGUGUGUUCCAGCAUGUGCAGGCACAACCUACAAGUGUCAAUGAUGUAUCAUAGGAAUAGUGAUGCUGCAUCUUUUGAUCUAAAGGGCUAUAUCUCACUUGAUAUAACUCUACUGAUGUCUGUAACAAUAGAUUUAACUAUAAUGCAAUGUAUGAUUGGACUCUGCUUGACUUAAUAAGUUUGCUUUUUUUUACAAAUAUGAUCUUUGUUCCUCCUAUGUAUAUUCUAUGAAAGCUUCUUGGACAUUCUUUCUUUUAAGAAUUUAGAAAUUAGUAGUUAUUAAAAAUGAUGUACUUUAUGUCAAAAAAAAGAAAAAAAGGUGCUGUGCUUAUGGAUUUAGCUUGCAUCACUACUUUGUUGUGUGAAAAGCCCAUGGUUUGUGUCCUUUCCUUGAUGGACUGGGCCUAGGUUUGAUUCAUAGGAGGGGUUGAUUAAGAUCCUAAAGCUUAAUUUGGGCCAACCACCCUUGGCUAACCAAAAUCAAUUGACUAGGUUGCCUGAAUUGGAAUUCUCAAGCUAGGCUUGGGUCCAAUUUUAGCUUAACUCCAUACCUUCUUCUUAAAGGAGGGCAUGGGUUUGGCGGUUUGGUCAAGAGCUUGAGUGGCAUGGAAUAUAGGGGGCCAAAUGAGCAAUAUGAUAGGGAUGUGCAUGGGCCAUGUGGGUUUUCAUAGCUAGAUAUUAGAGUCUCUCCUACAAGAAAUGAGUUGGAAGUAGGUUCAGUUGUAGGAGAUUGUUGCAAGCGAUAAGCGGGGAGCUGACCGGCCAAGGCGGUGGAUGGGAAAGCCAACCUAGGGCCCUAGUGAGAGAAGAAAAUUUUCAGUAACAAAUCAGAAAAGCAUUUAUCUUCAAAGUACUUUGUCACAGAGGGAGGAUGAAAACCAUUUGUAUAGUUGAAGAUAAUAAGCCAGUCUUUUGAAACUUUUGCAUGCGUUUCUUGCAUAGAAUGCCAAGAGUUCCUCUGCUGUAUUCUUGGAACUGCCUUGCAUUUUUCCCAUGAUGACAUAAAAAGGCCUCAUGGCAACAAAGUAACAUUCUAAACAAUGUUGAAUUUGAUAGAUCAUUCCAAAAAGGAGGAAGGAACAUUUUGGUAAUUUGAAGCCCAUGGCCACUCAUCUCUUUGCUCACAGCUUGUUGCAUGCCCAAGGCAUUGGUGGCAUGAUUAAACAAGAGGGUGAGAAGAAAUGCCAUAACAAAUUACGAGACAAGAUGGGUAGGUCGCCAUGGGGUUCAUUCAGCAUUGAUCUUUGACAUGAUGAUACGUUAAGCGCGUAACUCAAGCCAAGCCUACCUAACCCUAUGUAUAAGGAUGCAUUUUGGGCUCUGCUAACCCAUGACCUUUUUAAGCCUGUACUAUUUAUGGGCUGGGAUAAAUUAUCAUUCAGUUGGACUAUUUUGGGCUUGAAAAUUCUGGUUUGACUUGAACAGCUACGCUUGAGCUAGGAGUUUAGCCUAGCCCAAGCUGGCCUGAGGGUAAAAUAUGAUACAUGCUUAUGUGCAAGAAUCAAUGUGUCUGAUAGACAGAUGAUAGCACAAGAAGAGAAAUACUGGUUGCACUUUAAUUCCCCAUAUGUAUGCAUUGGGUUUAUCUAUGCAAUAUCUUAGUUUUGUUAAAUACAAUUGAGAAAAAAAGGAAACUUAGUUCUAAUUGGUCAUGCUAUGUUUGAAUUCUUUCUUGGUUAAGUUUGGGCCAGACCAAGCCAGUAUAUCAAUCGAGCUAGCUCAAUCUCAACUCAGAGUUGUCCACAGGGCUUGAGCUGAGAUUUGUUGGAUCAGUUGUGGGUUGAACAGAGUUUGGGCUAAGCCUUCAAUGUUGGCUGAGUCCCAGCAGAUAUUUGGCGCAGUCCAACCCACUCAAUGUGUAGUCCUACCAGUGUGCCAUGGACCUUGCUUAUGCUCAAUAAUCCUUCCAAGUUAGCCAGCAACUUGAUUAGCCAACCAAUUCUUUUACAUCCAUAGUUCUGGAUUGCACUUAUUUGGCCCAAGAUUAAAUCCUAGAAGCCUGGACAUAAAAUACCUGAAUUUUCUUUUUUAAACCAUAUACAAACGAGAUAUGACAAAUGGUAUCUUAACACUUCAGUUUUUUGGAAAUCUGGAGUGGGCACCUUUGGACACUAGUCACUAGGUCACAUUGUUUUUGAAUGACAUGCCAUGACAUUCCAUGGUGCUCUGAAAAUUGUCCUCGUGUCAGCUAUAAGUUGUGGCACUUGGAACAAUUGUUCUUGCAGUGUCCCCUAUCAAAAAGCACCUUAUUACAAUUGAUGUCACUUAACUUCUGAACUGUUUUGCUGCCAAAUAAUGAUUAUUAAGUGCCCAGACUCUUUUACUGAAGUGCUGCACAUUUUUUCCCAUUGAUGUUAUUAUCACAUGCAUGUUAAAAUAAAAGGUUUAUUGACUACUCAAUUAACUCCAGUUGUCAUUAUAUGUUGACUCGUAUAUUGGUUCUUUAUAUUUUAUAUUACUACAUUUUGGAAUUUAUGGAGUAGAAGUUGCCCUACCAACUGGACCCCUUACUCAGCCUAACAUGGGCCCAUUAGUAGCAAUAUGGCUCGGAGAAAAUCUUGUUUUUUUUUCCAUGCAUUUCUCCAACCGGUGCAAAUCUCUAUUGAUAAAUAAAUAAAUAUGGUUAAUUGUGAACUUAUAAUGCUAUCCUGAAAAGAUCUUAUUACAGUUUUCAAUUUUGGUUGUCAAGUGUGCUGAUGGCAAAAACGAGAUGAAAUGUUAGUUUUUACUUGUUUCAUAUUUUGCUGAUAAUAACUAAUCAUGUACAGUCAUUAAUUUUCAUCCCAACGUUUUCACAGGCUGAAGUUGAAACUCUGUAUACGGAAGAUUGCAGCCUGGAUGGAAUGAUCAGGUGGGUUCUCAGGAAAACACAUUGAAUGAAACUGUUUUCUUUCUAUGUAUUAAUGAAAGUCUGUUGCUUUGCAGAGAGAUGCAAGAUAAUCUCAGAAUUCUGACUGAAGAGGAGAACAGCCAAAAGUAAACUGAAAUUGUUAACGUUUCUUGGCUUUACAAUUUAUUUGGUGGUUUGUUAUUCAUUAACUGAAGUCUAAUGGUCAUUAAUCUGUUUAGAUGGCUCUAUCUCACCAAUGAUGAUAUUAAUAACCUUCCUUGCUUUGAGGUUUGGCUUUCUGGGCCCUUGAGUUUCUUGCCAUUUGAUCUUAUCUUGUAGCUGGAUGUUCUAACUUUUGUCUGUCAUGACAGGAUUCUACUCUAAUUGCAAUAAAAGCACCUCGAGGAACUAGUAUUGAAGUUCCAGAUCCUGAUGAGGUGGGCAAGACAUGGUCGAUAAGAUGAUACUUCAUGGGUUAGGUAGGUUUUGAUGACAUUAUUUUUUGAACAGGGUCUUGAUUUUCCACAAAGACGAUACCAAUUACUUUUCAGAAGCUCAAUGGGUCCUGUUGAUAUGUACUUGAUCAGGUACUUUCCGGGGGCAGUACCAAAAUUGCUGUCCGUUGGACUUUCUUUUUAGAAAAUUUUGAAUUAUAAUAUAGGCUCUCAUCUUGUUAACAGCAAUCAUGGAGAGAUAUACGAGGCUUCAAAUCAAAACCAACAGCCAGCUGCAAUGGAUUUGUAUGUCGAGAGUAGCUGCAAGAAUGAUACGUCUUUUCAGCCGGCAGACAAGCAUACAGGUGGAACAUCUGAGCGAGGACACGACCAAGCUACUCUUUCUAACAAUUUGGGUUCAACCGCUGCACAAGAAUGCAUGGGUGGCAUUGUGAAGAUUGUCCCAUCAGAUGAUGUAAGCAUAUAUACAUAGACCACAAACUAGGAUCAGAUAUGCUAAUAGAUUGCUGAUUAUGAUAUGCUUGUCAUUGCAGAUGGACACUGAUUACUGGUUUGUAUCAGAUCCUGGAGUCACUGUUUCAGACACAUGAACUGAAUAUAUCCUUGAACUAGAGCCCGAUUACCCUUCUUGAUGUUCUUUCCUAUGGAUGCACAGAGGGCAUUUGAUAUGAAUUACCACUUUAGCUUGACCGCUUUGGAGAAUGACCACAAACCAUUUCACUUUACUGUCACUAAAUGCAGAAUAACAUCAAAGAAAGGAAGACCUCUGGAUCACCAUUUCAUUGUAAAUGAGGCUAUACUACAGCCUUGGAGGCUUGGAGCUCCAAGAUCAGUGACUGUAGGCUUGACUGAUUUCCUGUGCAUGCCUGCCAGGGGAUAUUCCUGGGAUGUACAGAUCAUAAUAGGCUGCACAAUCAAGGGCACAGAGCUCAGAGGGGGUGGGGGGGCAAAAAAAGAUUUGUGAAAUUGUAAAUGCUAAUGAUGGUCCUUCCUAUUAAUUCUACAAUGAUCAAAUAAAAGGCUUAUAAAUAUUCAGUUGUCACUGUGGCGGUGAUUUUCAAUUUAGAUACACACUCAGAUUUUUCCAUUAAUUGCAGCUCAGAGAUCAAAUGAGCAACAGAAAUGGAUUGACUUUCUGAACUCUAAGUAAUGGGGUGCUGAACUGCUGAUGAUGGCUUGCGAGCAAGGUAGGCUACUCGUGCUAUCCUGAUGUUCUUUUUUUUUUUUUCGAUUGGCUCGAAUCAGGGAUCCUCCCCAGUUUGGGGUUGAACUGGAGUGGUCCAGUCCUCCAACCACAGCUUUCGUGAUUUCAUGGCCCUCAUAGGACCAUGCAAUAUGUAUGCUGCCCUUGUACCACGUUAGGCCUAUGCAAUCACUGCUGUCACUUGAUCUGCGGAUGGCAGUAAUUGUAAACUUGGGGUCCAGUUCAAACCUGAACUAGAGAGGAUCAAUGUUGAGACCUCUUUGCAAUGGGGCACUUCCUAAACAUGCAGAUGUUCUUUUUUCAAGUGUUUUGGGGCCUUUUUUGCAAUGCAAUUUAUUUAUAAAUGAAAAUGUCGGUUUGGAAUGAAUGGUACCAAGUGUUUGUCAUUUACAUUCCUACUAAAAGGGAAAAAAUUGUCAAUACGUCGUACACAAUCACCGACGGAAUGUCCAAUACAAAUCUUGUGUGGGUGGUUAUCACGCCCCCACAUUUGAUCAGUGUAUAUUUUCCCAGUUAGGCAUUGCGAAGUCCUAAAAUUCAAUUGUGGUUCUUCGACUUUAAAUGUUGUUACGGUGUUGAUUUACCAGCAAAACUGGGAAAAAACAAGAUCUAUAUUCUCCUAGGCCACAACAUUCUGCAUACGGGAGUCGAAUUUAUUAUACCUCACCAUCAAUCGGAACCAGAAGAACUGGUAACAUGAGCUCUUGGGAAGAAACAAGCUGAAAAUGAAGCAUCAGCUACCUACAUGGGGGACGGAGGGAAGACAAUGGAUCUGGGCAGAAGAUCAGUAAUUAUGAUAAGACGGUCGUAUAUUUUCCUAGCUUGCUUCAGAGGUUCCACAGGACCAUCAAGUAAAACUAAAGAAUCAGGUAUUUUGAUAUUUACAAUGAAUGACACAGUAUAAUAAUGAACCAAAGCUGAAGCCAUGAAAAAGAUGCCAAGCCAGUAGAAAAUUAGAAAUGAAUGCCAACUGCUGUAAAACAUAAUCAAGAUAUUGCAUCCUCCAGCCAUUACAUUCCAACGGGUCCAACUGCUUAACUAAAAAGGCAAUGGUAGCCUAGCCUAGCCGUCCAGCGGGAAUAAUGGCAAUGGUAGUAAUACCAAAGGAAAUGAUAGAUGCCACCCCUGAUUGUCAUUACUAAACUUCUAAGCAUCCGAUACCAAAUACAAUUAAAAAGGCCGGCAAAAUGACUCUGCAACAGUGCAUGGAAUCAUGAUUAUGCCCCAGCCCCGAAAGGAUUGGGAAUUCAAUCAUGUGCAUGCAGUGAUCUUGUUUCAUUUUUGUAUCCAUUCAUCACAAACGGAGUGAAUUCUCUUCCAUGAACUAAGCUUCGCCUCCAUCUCUGGUCCCCUGCUGCCAUAUCCAGAUGCAGUUCAUUAAGAACUAAACAGCCACUUGCAUAGAUAUCAUCAAGGUCCCCUAAACUCGUCAACUAGAUGCUUGUCUACACAUGCAUCUCCACCUUGUUCUAGGUUAUUUACACAAGUGUUGAUGGAUGGAUUCAAAAGAAUGCACUCAAAUCAAUCACCCCACAUUUCCACUCUACCAACGAACAAGCAAUGCUCGAGGAAAUAUUGAGAGAGCAGGCAAGAGAUGCUACUAACGAAUUGAGGGACCAGCAGCUGCAGCUCUUUUUCUCAACCUGCCACGGGUCAUGCGGAUUGCCUCUUCCAUGGGAGUCUCUUGUGAGGGAGGAUUUGUGUCUUCUUUGGAUGCAGCAUUGGCCACUUCUACCUGCAUUGCUUCUCCAUCACCUGCUGGUGAGGCUGGCGGCUGGGCAACCAGAGGGGCUGGUUCUUGCAACUGCCUCUUAGUGGGGUUGGAUGGUGCACAUGUUUGCUGUUGAUGCUCUUGUGAGACUGUUUGUUGGCGAGCAGCCGUCGUAGAUGCCAUUCGGCGGAUCUGCCGAGGCUGCUGGCAUUGCUUAGUGCCAAUAUAACAACUCAUCAAUAAAAUUGAGUGUGGUCAAAAAGCUGGUGCUAUAUUUGAAACAAGUAUGAAACUCGAAAACAAAUGUUAUCAAGAGUCUAGAAUCUAACAUUUGGAACUUCAAUAAUUCAAGAUCCUGCCACGACAUAAACCUCAAUAUAUGCUAGCAAUUUAUUUAGUUUAUAUAGAUAGAAACAAUGAUGACAUUUAAUCCUUUACAGCUUUUAUAGAUUUUCCUACCUCAAAAACUGCCCUUCUGAUACCAUCUGAAACUUGAAAAUGAAACAGAGCAUUACAUACAAAUUCCCAGGAGAGAUAACUUUGUCACGUUUAAGAAAUCCAUCGGCAAAACCAACAACUAUCUCAAAGUCAAAACCAACAGCUAUCUUCCUUUUACAAGCAGACGCCCUAGUCUUAGGAAUCAUGCAAGUAUCUCCUCUUACAAACAAUGCACGCAGAAUAAACAGUUACCCAAAGAAGUAGAGCUUCUUCACACUCAAUGAAUAAGCAUUCAGGGUAGGAUUAAAUAUAACAAUGCAUCAGAACAGUUAACUAUAGAUGAUGCACAGUUAUACUCAACAUUUAUGUAGAAAGCAUCAAAGAUUGGGCAUUUUAUCCUCAAAUGAGUACAUAUUUUUUGUAGAUCUUUAUGUUCAAGUCGUAUUUUAUGGUACAAGAAGUUCUAAUCUCUAAGAUCAUUUGAAAGUUCUAGAGUUUUUUGAUAUGUAUAAAUUUAAACCUAGGUUUUAUUUUGUGUAAUUCCGUUCACAUAAUAAAAUUUGCAGUCAUUGAAGUGGUUAUUUUGCAUCUGUACAAAUGCGAAAUACCAAAGAACUGUAGGAGGUUUUAGAAUACUUCAUUUAAAACAACAAAGUAGCUGAGGCAGACAGGCUGUCCACAUUGGUCCCUGAGUUCCCAAGCACCAAGAUAUACUGCCUAGAUAUAAUAUAUGUUUAUUCUUUAGUUUAGGCCAAAGUAAUAGAUGUAAUAUAUAGCAUGUAGGUUGGCUCCUGUGUUAACUAAAUCAAAUCAAAAAGAGUUUAACUUUCACAGGUUGAUUGCGUCACUGGGAAGACGCACAAGUUCCAGAGCUAUUUUCCUUAACAGCUUUGCAAGCUAGAGAAUAUGCAGCUGGCAGAAAUUGUACCUCUAAUAUAGAUAUCCUAAAAAAAUAAACAAGAAAAUAAUGAUUUCAGUUUUCUCAAAUUUCCAAUUACUAAAAGAGAUCACAUAAAAAAAGUUGAACCAUUAAAUGGCAAAAGAUCAUAGACAUCCGUCAGGGCAAAAGGGAACACAAAAUGUGACAGUAAAACCUGAAUAAGUAACGUGCAUGAUUACAUUUUUUCCAAGAUCAGAUCUUUAUCAAAAACUCAACCCAUCUUUCUUGAUAAAGAAACCCUAGGUUUCUUUUGAACUUGCAAUAUCAUUUUCCCCUGGGAAGAGCUCAACUUUCUUUCCAUAUUUAUGCCAAUCUCCCUUCCCAUGAACAACUAAGAUUCUUCCGAACCACCAAAGCAAAUCUCUAACAUGAAAUAUGGAUCCUACGCAAACCUUUUGAACUGAUUAAACAAGAAACAGAACAAGGUAAGGAUCUCCCUACAGUUCACACACACACACAGAGAGAGAGAGAGAGAGAGAGAGAGAGAGAGAGAGAGAGAGAGAGAGAGAGAGAGAGAGAGAGANNNNNNNNNNNNNNNNNNNNNNNNNNNNNNNNNNNNNNNNNNNNNNNNNNNNNNNNNNNNNNNNNNNNNNNNNNNNNNNNNNNNNNNNNNNNNNNNNNNNNNNNNNNNNNNNNNNNNNNNNNNNNNNNNNNNNNNNNNNNNNNNNNNNNNNNNNNNNNNNNNNNNNNNNNNNNNNNNNNNNNNNNNNNNNNNNNNNNNNNNNNNNNNNNNNNNNNNNNNNNNNNNNNNNNNNNNNNNNNNNNNNNNNNNNNNNNNNNNNNNNNNNNNNGAGAGAGAGAGAGAGGAGGAGGAGGAGAAGGUAUGCGUAAUGUAUGACAGUGGGUCAACAUCUCCAAUGCUGCAGUGUCACUGAUAUACAUUGUGUUUUUUCACGACAUGGAAGUUGGCUCAAUGCCUUUCCCGUGGCAAGAUCUUUGCUUUGGAAAUGUUGUGUUGUGAUAGAUAUAAUAUAACAAAUAUUACAUCUAGUAACCCCAAGUUUCAAACUAAAACCACCACCAUUAAAUUUGCAAGCUGGAUUUUAAAUUUAUAGUUUCCGUCAAGGUGUAAACAGAGUCAAAAGGACAAAUAGUAAAAUAAGUCUAAAUGCAAGCGCAUGCAUCCCUCUAAUGGUCCUGCUAUUUCUGUUCCAAUCAUUUCAUUUUUUAACAAGGGUAACAUGAUUAUCACAAUUUAUGUCCUAUUAUAAUGAUAAGGUGCCAAGUAUCUUCAAAGGUAGUUUGAAAUAAAGAAUCUUCAUUAUCUUUGGUAUUUCCUGAAGCUUGAUGCGUAGUAUAUAUACAGACACAUAAAUGUCUGUUUAUUACUAAUAUCAUCUCUUAUGCUCAAUUUAUAGGCACUAAAAUCGCUUCAACACCCGUUAAGAUUCGUUUGAAGAAUGGAUGAUGGUGACCCUUUUCUUGAUCCUUCUUGAUAAUGUCAUCUCAUUGGAAGACCACUUGAUGACAUUGUCUAUGCAUUCCUAUGGCCGACAAGUUCAUUACAACGCCAUCUCAUGUAGCCUAAAUAGCAUUCUUAGCUAUCUUUAUUCAUGCCAUCACCACCUUGGCCCUCAAUUUCUCAUCCUUUUCUCUGCUCCAACUUUGCACUUAGAUGUUGAUUGCGCUAGUGAAGCCAUGUGUCCUGGAUCUAUCACUAACUAUGUUAUUUAUUUUAAAGACAGAGAAAGAAGCAAGUCAUCAUUUCUCAUUUGUUUGUUAAAGCUGAGUAUGGCACCAUUGUUCGUAUCUCUGUUGAGGAGGCCUAGCUUCAAUGCCUAAUUUACUAAAACAAGGGGCAUCUUCAAACACGACUAGCAGCCUUAGUUGUGAUAAUUAAAAUAUUGCUCAAUUUUCAAUGAUUUGAUACUCCAUAUUGUACCAAGCAUAUUAGAUUAAUUAUCAUUUCAUACCAUGUCGCUGAGACGACACCCCUUACUACAUAGUUUCUUUACAAAUCAGCUUUCUAACUUCAUGAAGUCACACACUAGUCCACAUUUUUUCCACGAUAAACUGCAUACGAUCCACAAUGAGUUUCAAAUACAAACUAAUCUUUGUAUAUUGCCAGCAUGCUGAACACUUUGGAUUUAAGACAUGUUUAUAUAUUUUUGGAUCAUUGUCACUAGAGCAAGGAUCGGGUCAUUGCCAUUGGAGCAAGGAAUUGAGAGAGAAAGAGAGAGAGAGAGGAGGAGGAGGAAUAAAGGAGGUGCUUACUAUAAUAGAAUAACAUGCAUGGCUUUUGUUACAACUAUACUAAAAAAAACUCUAAUUAUUGUGUAAUGCAUAUGCAUCACCACAAUGGACAAUCAUAGAAAUUUUCAAAUCAAAGACAUCAGACUUGCUAAUCGUUAGAUAUUUAAUUUAAAAAACAAAUAUGUACUUUUACUUUCCUAUAAAGUUUAAUCUUUCUGGUUCUUAACUAAUUCAUAUUUUUAUUACUUUAACAUUAUCUGUUUAAUUUUUGGGAUGACUAGAAUGAGUUCAUCAUAUACCAGUUGCUAUGCUGAUCAGCAUAUACGGUAGCAUAUGGCAGUAAUAUAAACCAUUGGUUCCAUCAAAAAACCAUUCAACCCCACAAAUAAACAUAUAGAUGGGUUCCUCCACAUAGGUGAUGAUAUGCGACACAAUGCUUGUAGAAACACAGUAGAGCAUGCUCCUAAGACUGGUGAGACCACCUAGGCCCCAACAACAUGCAUGGCAAUAUUCCACAAGAAGGAUUGUACAUGGCCAAUCAAAGCAUCAAUGUGGGGCUAUUGUUAAGGGGUGACUUGCCCAAUCAUUUCACUUAAUAAGGUAGUCCACUGGGAAACAUUAUUAAUCCUUCCAAUGUAUCCACAAAUUUAAACAUCUGGUUCCUAACACCAGAUCAGGAUAAUGCUUCUUGUUUUGCUUAAUUUUUAAAUGGAGGAAAGUUUCUCCUAGGUUAUGUUGCAUAUCAUGACAAUCCUUAGUACUUCAAUAAGCUUGAUCACAGCAAAUUCUAAAUUGAUAUAAAAACAAGGGCAUUGAUAUGGCAUGCCAAAUACUACAUUGCUAGGAGAAUAGGAUACAGGUUUCCUUGCAAUCUCUACUUGCAAUAGGUGGAAAAAAAAGAAAAUUAUUUUAGUAACCUUACAAUCUCUACUUGACAAAGGAAAAAGCUUUAGUACACUGGGAGAACAUUUUUCAUGAUUGGUGUUAUUAGCUUAUAGUGGUCUGCUGGAGAUAAACACACAAUCAAUAUAUUGCAAAUUAAAAGAAGGUUCUACUACUGGACCCAUCGAUUCUUUUCACUUUAACCCAGAAUGUAUAAAAGAAUCAUAGUGAAUGACCACAAUUUUGUCAUAUCAGAUAAAUGUGCCUUCUUAAGCAAAUGAAAAGCAAGCAAAUGCUAGAGGCAGUGCAAAAAGCUAUAUUUCUAGAUUGUCAAGUAUAUUGAGUGGUCUGGUAAAAUUUCAUUAUAAUUAGAAGAAAAGAAAAACAAAGAGAACACAGUAAGACCUAUUUACUCUUCUCAAUAAGCACCUGGACAGGGUGUGAUCUCGAUGACUGCGAGGGUGACUGCGAAGCAAUGUAUUGUAAGACUUCAAAAAGCCUUGUCUGGCCAUAGCUUGCAGUCUUUUGCCAAUAAAGGGCAACAAUAUCCCCAGCUCUCGUUCUCAGCUCAAGUAAGUUACGAUCUAUUUCAUUCUCAUGCUUUGCAACAUAUGGCCGAAAGAAAGUUUCAUAGACAUAUGUGGUUCCCUGCCAUAAAUUCACUAAUUAAAAAAAUUAUAACUAUAGAUGAGAUAACAUGCCAUAGCCCGAGAGGGCAUAGAUUUCACCUUUGUUUUUGGGUACCAAAGAUAUACAAAGGAUGCCAGCUUUGCCUCGUUGUACAUUGGUACCCUUCAAGAAAGUAGAUAAGAUCCCAAGUUGUAACAAGAAAAGCUGAAUAAAAGUAAAGAAAGCAAGGCUGUGGAGCCCAAAUUUCCAAACCACUGAGCUACCUUACCAUGAAAUAAAAGAUUCUCCAACCCUCUCAAAGACGGUCAGUGCAGCAACUAAAAUCCUAGAAAAAUGAAUUAAAAUCGAAAGGUCUCCUUUUAGUCCCACAAGUGACCAGAAGAUAGGAUUGAAAAUAAAAUCUUUCCACCGACAAGCAACAAGAACGUACCAAUACUGACACCAGAAUAUCAGCUGUUCAACCUCUGGCUUGUUCAACUCCACAGCUUUGAAGCAUUCAUAGGCCGGAUAAGCAUAGCCAAGGACCAAUCUGCAGACAGAAACGCUCGAGUUCUCAUCUAAAUUCACUUUCUUGAAAAAAGAUUUCUAAAGACAAGAAACAUGAAACGAAGAUCUACUCGAAUGUAAUGAAGCAGCUAAAAAACCAAAAAAACUAAUCCAUGUCAGAAUUACUAACACCAAGGCUCUUGUAACAAAACUUCCCAUCAUCUUGAUCCACCAAACAUGUAGAAAGUUACGGCCGCUCCCUGAGCCCCCUUCAGCAACACCAAGCACUAGAAGUCAAGGAAAAUGAAAACAGACGGCAUUAUUAUAUAAACAAGAAAAGAUUACUGUACCGUGAUUCCCAGAUCAUUGGAAGUGCGCGCGCGCGUCUGCAGCAGAAAAUUAACUAAAAAGCUUAUUGGAGAGCGGAGUGUAACAAAACUAGGGGCAAGGAAAACACAGAAAAAGAAGAACGCCGUGCAGGAAAACCCUGGAUUUAAAGAUCUGACUGAAAUCAACUCCGCAUAUCUCCGCAUUGCAGAAUAUGAGCCAAAAUCCCACCGAUUUCCAUCGCAAGAAACAAAAGAGAAAACCCUUAAAACUGAUCAAGAAAACAAAUCAAGUAUCAGUACAGAAGCCGCAAAAGAACCCUUAUUCGGUGCAAAAAUCCGAGAAGAAGCGCAAGACAUGCUGAUUUAAGGCGACGAAGCCGACAUCGGAAGAGAAGAGGAAAGAGGGUAAAGAGUAAAGACCGAUACCUUUCCGAGAUUGGCCGCAAGAGGGAAAGAGGGAGACAAAAUCCUUCCACCGAGACGAUAACGAUAAAAGAAGCGACAGAGAGAGAAAGGAAAAGGGAGUAGAUCUCGCCAAGUCUUCAAGGGUACGAAAUACGGCGAGCGAGAGCUCUUUUUACCGUGUAGCUGCUCUUCUUUUAAAGCCAGAGAACGGCGAGGGAGAGAGACCGUCGCCUCGCCCCCACCCGGCCGUCUCGAUUUGAACUGGUUCUUGGUUCUCCCUCACCGGGGCGUAUCGUAUCUCUAUCCUACGUGGAUGGCUACGUCGGUGCUUACUGGUGAGCGAGUGGAUAGACAACGGACGGCCGGAGGUACGGAAUCUGUUUUGGGCAUUGGAUACUGGCCGUUUGAUUGAUGGAUCACGGAUCGGAGGUCCCGAGGGCUUUUUCCCGUGCAGGUGGACCCAAAGUGACGUUCGCGAUAACGUUGCUGUCGCUGCGCAAAGGACGCUCCCCGAACUGUUGUGGUAUGAGUUUACCGUUGCAUUCCGUUUGACGACCGCCAGCCGUUGUCACGAAAAAAAUUAUAAACACUCACAAAACUAUUUCACUUAUCACCUAACCAAAUAAAUUAUUUUGCAUGUAAGAUGCUAGUGCGGAUACCAGUGCCAGAUCAUCCGUCACUCAAAUCUACAUUCGCCGCAGAAGGAUGUUCCAGCCAGUUUGAUUUUAUUCAGUAAGUGAUUUUAUGUUAUUUGGACUUAUUAGAGUAUUUUGUUAUUUGCCAGUCGUUAGGGCUUAUUUUGAUAUUUCGUUAUUUUGAGAGUCUUCUGUGAGACUAUUUUUUUUUUUCAGAAGCUUAUUUGCAUAUUGCCAUUUUGAGGUCUUUAUAAAAUUGUUUGCACCUAAAUACUUAAUAGCAAGAUGCACAUAAGCAAUAUCAUCGAUUUAUACGUGUAACUGUCAUUAUUGUAUUCAUGGCAAUUAUGCAUCUAUUAAUUUAUUGCAUAGCAAAGAUAUCUUUAAAAUGCUGCAUGUAGUAUUAUUUUUAGAGUUAACAUCCUAAUUUCAGAUUUUAAUAUUAAAAUAAUUAGACAUGCAUUUUUUUGGAAGAUUUUUGAGAGAAAAAUGAAUGUUAAAGAUAUUUUAUUUUAGAAAUGAUAUAAAUGAAAAUAAUGGCUAUUAUUAUAUUAUAAUGGUACAUUAUAAUGAAAAAUAACUGAAAAUAAUAAAAAAAUAAUAGCUAUAUGCUAUCUGCCCCAAUGAUAUAAUGAGAGGUGCUCGAAAUCAUUAUAACAACCACUAAAAUGAUAAUAAUACUAUUAUUUAAAAUCAUGUUGCACCAUAUUGAAGCCAUCAUAGAAAGCAGUUGCUAUUUGCCACUCUUGCUGACUUUUGAUCCAAUUAUUCCUAAUUUUCUCUCACUAGAAAUCCUUGGUUUCUCUUUCUUUUUUAUUUUUUUUCUUACCAGAUAAUAGAUUAUCCAUUGCACUACUAGGAACCACCACAUCUCCCACAACAUCAAAGGAAGUUUCUUGACACUGAAUGAUCAGAAGGGGAUCGCAUAAGUUUGAUGAAAGAAUGGACUCAAUGCUAGAAUUAACUACUGUAUAGGAGACUACACUCCAUCAAGUAUAGAAAAGCAACACAAGAGGGCCUGCAGCUCUCUCUACUUGCAAGGGGAGUAAUUUGUUGUUUGCCAUUCUACCUCAUCCUCUCUUGCUCUCUCUUUCUCUUUCAUUCCCUCCUAGGUUGACACCUCCUCUCUCUCUAUCUCUCUCUCUCAUAUUCCAUCUGUCCAUCCUUUUCUCUCUCCCCCUUCCAACAUAACUCAAAAGCAUCCAUUGCUCCUUAACCUGUUGCUUUACCCUAUAUCUUCCUCCUUCCACCAAGGCCCCCUCACCUAACCCCCCAACCCCCACCAUAUUCAGAUCAAUCCUCAAGCUUAGUUCUUAAAUAGCAAGCAUGGCUCGGACUUUAAUAUCUUAGGUUCUAGGCUGGACUGAGAUAGGCUUAGGCUAAGGUUUUUAAGCUAUUGACAAUAUACUUAGGUUAGGCUUGGACCUAGGUCAUUGCUCAAGUCCAGUGCUCAUUAUCUGUUGAGAUUAAUGGGCACAAACUCACUGUAUCCGGCUUACCAAUUAAGAAUUGGACUCAUUCAGACAUUCCAUCAAACACAUCACAGGCAUGAAAAGAUAAGCACGGNNNNNNNNNNNNNNNNNNNNGCGCACGGGAGGAUGAAGAAGAUGGAUGCGGCGGCGGCUGAAAACCCUUUCAACCUAAAACAAACAAAGCCCUUCAUCCCACGGGAAAACAGGUAAUGUGUACCUUAUAUAUAAUGAAAUGACAUUUUGCAAAUAGGUCCCUCUCAAAGCCACUAUUUGGAGCAAAGUCCAAAAUAAUCAACAUUAUCUAACUUGAUUUUCUGCCCCACACCAUCUUAGGAACAUGUCUCUCAUCUCUCCCAUACUAAUGCAUUCUUUUAUAGUAACAUUCUUUCUAUCCAUCAUCUAACUAAUAACUGAAAAUAAAUGCACAAACCAAAACUAGAAAUAUAGUUAAAAAAACUAUAUUGCUUCAUUCUGAAAAAAUAUAUUUUGCUUGGAUUAGUUAUUCAAAUUAAUCAUUAAAUUCAUCAUCAUAAAUCAUAUCAUAAAGCAAAAGAACGCUCCACAUCUACAUGUCAUAAGUCAUCGAUUGCCUAUUUGCUUCAUACUGCGAGGUCAUUUUGGCAAUCUUCUUCUUAUAGAGUUAUAUAUAUAGGAGCCUAUCUUAACUUUCUAAAAUUGCCAAUUUAGCCCGUUCAAACUAAAAUAGAUAGAAGUCUAUUUAGCCACUGCAUUUGGUUGCUUUUGACAAAAAAGGCUCUUUAGCUCACAAUCUGAAAAAUCAAACCAAAUUGAACUGAUUUUUUUAGACUGGUUUUAUCCACUUGUAGUAUAUAUUUUAUUCAGUUUUGAUGUAAAUUUUAAAAAUUAAUUUAAAUCGGUUCGAUUUCAAAAAAAAAAUUUAAACGGACCGGUUUGAACCGGCGAACACCCCAUUAUUUGUUGACGCCAUAGCGUGUCCCUCGCUCCCUCCGUAUCACAUGGCGUGUCGCAACUUGAGUAGCAUUUUGCGAACCUUUUCUUGGGUUCCAGGUUUGGGCCGCGUAGCGUUACUCUAGCGGGAAUCAUGUACCCAAACCCGUAAUGCCGGCAAGAGCGAGGUAUGUAAAGGCUAGCUGAGAGAUACGCCCCCCAAACACCUAACACCAAAUAAAAAGAAGCGGGGAGGUGGACGGGGAGGGGAAGGGAGAGGGGGCGAGAGGUUUGGGGAAAGAGAAGGCAACGGAGGAUCAACGCUUUCGUCACGAAGAAAUUACUUCAAGGUACUUUCCCCGAUUGGAUUGCCUUUAAUCUCUUUCGCCCAAUUGCUUCUCCGUUCUUCCUACUGGGAAUCGGAAUCUAAUUGGGUCACCGCUAGGGUUAGGAUUAGGGGUUUUGAAUAGUUUUGGCCAGUCCAUGCCGUUUACUGUGUUUCUCCGAACGUCGAAUUAUUAUUGCGGAGUCGGUAGAUUUUUAUGUGCUGAAUCCUCUAAAAGUACAGUCUUUUUUUUUUUUUUUACCUUGCUAGAGUUUCUUCAAUUAUUUGCCUCAAUAUUCUCGCUCCUGUUUAUUUUGUGGCAUGGUUAGCUGCUAUUUUGAUCGUUAAUGCAUUAUGUUGGGAUAUUAAACGGAGUAUCAUUUUCUUUUACCAUUGUUGAUACCAUUGAGAUCAAAUGUUAGAUAUUUGGCUGGUUGAUAUUGAACCAUAUAAUUUCUUUUUUGAACCUAGCCAUAGUAGAGCCAAGUUGUUUUGGGUGAACAAAAAGAAAGAAUGAAUUAAAAUGGACGAAUAGAACUGAAACACAUCCUCCUGUUGUUUGCUGGUGUUAUUACUAGUUAAUUUGGUUCUUUACGUGUGGAAAUAUAUUCACUCGACUGUUUUGUUGAAAGAAAGAAGCAGAAAAAGAACCUGUUAGCGUUCCUAUAAGGUAGCCAUAAGCUUUAUGCACCUAGCACUUAUAUAACUUUUUGUAUCAGCUUGAGUUUUGAAGCCGAUAUCUCACUGUCCGACAUGUUGUUAGGUUUAUAUUGGAAAAGCUUGGGGUGAAAGUUGCUAUUACUAGAGUGGCUACCUCAUGGAAUCAGAGCAAGACCAAGAGCCUUUAAAGCCUAUCUUGUGCUGGCCGGCCUAGGUGACCAGCUAAUAAAGGUUACCAUAUAGCCAGUUGAAAAGAGAGAUCCGCCAUACAGUAGGUUGCUUGAUACAAUUGGAAUGCAAAAUUGCAUAAAUUGAGAAAUCUAGGGUUAUGCUAAGGCUUUUUGAAGGCUGCAUCUGGCCCAACCAUGGGUUAUAUGAGUUCGGGCUUUAAGCCUGCUAGACUUGGACCUAACAUUUCAGUUCAGAAAUUUAUUUCAGGCAAAAUUUGUGCAACCUUUGGUCUUUUUCAAGUUUGGUUUAGUUGAGAUAUGAUCAACAUGCAUACGAUCAUGCAUGCUAAAAAUGUUGAAUCAUAAAAGUCAUCAUAGCCAACCACUGCAUAUAUGAAGGUCAGCCAAUAUAGGUUCAAAGUCUACUUACCCAUAAAACCCUUGUUAAAUUUCUUAAUCUCUGCAGCCAUAAUCUUGGUGCUAUUAAAGUGAGUCAAAGUCCAGGCCCACUCUCUGCAUUUAUCAUUAAUCUUGACCAAAUAUCUCUUCCUCCUAGAUCUUUCUUCUCUUACGAAGACCUAGAAGAUGGAGACUAAAGUAGGGGUUUUGCUUCCAAAUUGUCAACAUAUGAGAUAGUUCCUCAUAUCAGUCUAACCAAUUAAUGUCAAUUUGGAGUAACAAUCAAGCCAAAGGGAGCUAAAAAGCAAGAGUGCAAGAAGGUAGUAGGAUUUCUUGCAAUUUAGUCCUCAAGGGAGUUUAUGCCUAAAGGAGUCAGGACUUUGGUGGUAACUUUCAUCUUGAGGUUGCAAAUUGGAUGGAUCGAGCAGCAUAAUGCACCCUUUUGACUGAGAGAAACUUAUUUUGAUCCAUACCUGUGGUGGGCGAAGUCCUUAAAUUGGUCCGAAGCUAAUCAUGGGCUUCCUGCUACAAAAGGAAACCUUAGAAAUGAUUUGUUAGUUAAGCGGCUGUAUUACUGUAACUGUCAAGUCUCAUCCUAACUAUUUAAGGCCAGCUUAAUAAAUCCUUCUCCUCCAUUCGUUUCUUUGAAGGGCUACAUGCGAUGUCACUAAAGGGCUGUUUGAUUGCUAAUUUCAUAAGAUCUAGUUAACUGAAAACCUAAAAUAAAUAAAGUUAUUUUUCUCACUUCUGAAUGAUCACUUUCUUCAUAACAGGUUCUAGGAUAAGUAACCAGACAAUAUUUUUAUACUUUGUUUAUAUGAACCAUAAUGAACCAAUUUUUUUGUAAAAUGUUUAACUCAGUUUUUUAGUGUAGGCAGUUUUUUUUGCAUGGCAUCAGAUGUUGGAAGGGUGGAGGAUGUAGUUUGUUUGGCAAAGUCAGUAUGUUGACAAGGUCAUUUGCAUUAAACGGACUGGUGUUGCACAUUUGGAGAAGUUGCUACUUAAUUUGGGAUAAAUAUCUUUUAAAUGGAAAUCUUAUUUGUAUGGACAACAAAAUAUCUGAAAUUUUGUAGCAUCUUCGUUUAAGGGAGAGAUAAUGUGGAUGAAUAUGGAUGAAACUUGGGCAGUCCAUAUUAGCAGGACUUUGGAAAUCAGAAGAUUUCAUGGUUGCAGAUUGACUUCUCCACAGGAUAACAAAGCUGCUCUAGUCUAUAGACUGACAGGAAACAUUCUAAAUAGUUUUUCCUGCUCAAAGCAAGCUCCAGAGGUGCAUGAAUACUUGCUGAGCAUUACUUGAGUAGAGUUGUAGAUUUUUUCUGGGGAUUAAGAUCUUAAUGUUUAACAUUUUUGCAUCCAGUUGGCAUUCUAAUCUAACUCAUUAAGCUGUCAUUCUGUGCCAUAUUAAUUUUACAAUUAUGUUGUUGUCUCUACUAUUUGUCUGUCGAACACAACUAGCAAGCACAGCACGUUCCUCUUUAUCUAGUGUUACUAAAGAGUUGUCACUUUUUACUAUAAAAUAUGAAAAGAAAUGAUAAAAAUAGUACAAGAUCUCCUCUCUUUUUAUUUUGCUAUCUAAUGUUUUUCUCUUAAACAGAAAACCUUGUAUCAUCUGCUAGUAUCGCACACAUAAAGAGGUCAUGGAGGACUGUAAGGAAGGUGAGUCAUUGAAUUUUAAGUCUUACCUCAGUCAAACAAACAAUGUCUGUAGGCAUGAGUCGGAGUGCCACCAAUCUCAAAUUGAGGCACUACAUGAAAAGCUUAUGGAGGUAAAGGCUAGCAUUAAAUGCUCUGAAGACAAAGCAAAGAGGGAGUUGGAACACCUUUGGCGUAAUGGCAAAAUAGCUGCCACCUUACUGACUUACCUGAAGUCGAAAGCAAGAAUUAUGGCUAAUCCACAUAUGGCCCAUGCUUCAUGUGGGAUCAAGCAUCGGGAGGGAGUGGGACUGGUUGACAAACAUGACAUACCACUAUCUGACUGGUCUAAGGAUAUUGAUCUUUCUCCAUUUGAAAGUUCAGAGGAGGAAAUACUACGGGCAAGCGGCAAUGAGUCUGGAUCUAUUGAUGCAAAUGAUGGAGCGUACCUUGUUGAAAUACUAAAGUCAGUGCACACGGUAACAGAUGUUAUGGAGUCUCUUGUCAAAAAGGUUAUUAUGGCAGAAAAUGAAGCUGCCAUCGAAAAAGAGAAAGUUAAUCUUGGCAUGGAAGAAAUUAGAAAGAAGACACUCCAAAUUGAUAGCAUGUCUGCAAAAGUUGAAGAGAUGGAAAAAUUUGCACUGGGUGCAAAUGACAUUUUGAAUGAAAUGCGGCAAAAAGUUGAAGAUAUGGUGCAGGAAAUAUCUAGACAACGACAGCGAGCUGCAGAAAAUGAACAAGAGCUUUGCCGUGUAAAGCAAGAUUUUGAGGCAUUGAAAUCCUAUGUUAGCAGUCUCAUCAGUGUGAGAGAAACCCUUAUUUCCUCAGAAAAACAAUUUCAAACAAUGGAAAAGCUUUUUGAAAGGUAUCAUCCUGUUACUUUGCUUAACUGCUUGUGACUUAACUGCAAAUGCUGUGCUUUUCAUUGGAAUGAAAUCCAUAUUUUUCUGAGCAUAUGCUUAUUGUUUAUUUUCCCCUUAUUAUGCACUUGUGUUCUUGCUUUAUGAUGCUUCCUUUUUUUUCCUUUUUACAUUUUUUCAGAUGCAGCAUGACUUUCGUACUACCUUUGUAGUGUAGCAGUCUAAUUUGGAUUUGAUAAUGGUCUACAAUAAAUAUAUAAUCUCCUAAAUUUGCAUGACCUGCAUACAUAACAUUUCAGUUACAAAAGGAGUCCUGCUAUCUGCUAUUGCACCCUUCAUGUUUCUUCUUUUGAUUCACCUUCAACUUCAAUGUGUCCCUGAAGUUAACUGUUUCGCAUGUAAAGCCAGAUUUGCUUCUUUGUGUUACUACUUGCUCCUGAUUUUGAGAUUGUGUUUGAAGUUGAUUAAAUUUGUACAGAGACCAAGUUAAUUUGAUUUUUCUAUGAUCUGAAAAUCACUGGGUUCAGUGAAAAUGGCAUGUUACUUUGUAACAAUGUGAUUGCAUAAAUUGCCAAGAAAUUGCAAAAUAAUGCAUGCUUAUGUAAUUUAAUUACUCACUAUCUAAACAUUGAGCCCUCUUUGGUUACCAUAGGAUGUGUCUUCCAAGAAUUAGUAGUUACAGCAUUCUUGCUAUUCUAGGGUAACAGCAAACCAAUGUCUUUUAGCUUGUGCAAGUUAGACUAAUUGUUAAUUGUACUGGCGUCAUGCUGUUUGUUUAACAAUCAUCUGGUUUUUCAUAUGACACUCAUGUUGUGUUUGUUUAUAAUAAUCGAUGUGAGCGUGUCAUUUAGUCAUUUGAGAAACGUAAAAAAGCAUGGUGGCUGAAACUUGAGGAAAAGCAUUGGAGUUGAUGGAAUUGCUAUUCUGGUAUAAAGUCAAAUAUGUAGAAUCUUAAAGGAACUCUCGCACGCUACCAUUUGUAAAAACCAUGCAGUGAAUUCAUUGAUAUUCAAAAUGCAUUGAUUCAUAAAAUAAUGUAAAAAUGCUUAUGAAAACACUUUUUUUUUUGAGAGAGAGAGAUUGGACAGAAGUCCAAUCAAAAGCUUAUGAGAAACACAUUAAACAUGCAUGUGUUAUUUUUGUACAUAAGUCUAUAGGUCACUGAACUCUUUCUUAAACCCCAUGUCAUAGUGUAAGUGGAUCAGAAUUCAAGACUACUGCUGAAAAGGUGAAUUGACCAUGUGAUGCUAAUGGUAGGUUCUAUUGGAUUAGAGAGUAUAAGAGCCUAUGAGAGAAUAUAAUGUCACCAUGAUGUCACGUCCAAAAGAUUAGCUGAGAUGAUGGUUGAAGAUACAUGGCCACAAAAGAAAAGCAUGGGCAGGAGGAAGCAAUUAACUUGUGUAAGGUUAAGUCACAAAGGUGUCACUUUGCUGACAUGGCAACUUUAUGGAAAAGUUGACUUAAAUGGGAAGGUGGAUCCUAGGAAAAGUAUAAGCAACAACGUAAAAAUCCCCAACAUUGCUAAUACACAAUUGUAGGCUUACGGGGUUGGUGAUGCAAGACAACAAUAACAUAGGGUAAGCGCUUUUCAUAAUUAGGUCGGGUUGGGGUUUCAGACUCAAACUGGAUAGAUCAUGUGUUCAGCAAGCCCUAAAACCCAACCCUAGGCCCUUAGAUUGGACUCAAUCAAACACUUACCUUUUAUCAUGACCUUUCCCAUAAUAAAUGCUGAUCUAACUUCAUUUGUUUCAUUUUUUACCCAGCAAAUAAAAUCCAACGGCCUCAAUAUGUAAGUAUGUAUGUAUAUAUGUAUACAUGAGAGAGAUAGGGACUACUCUCUAGACACAUCCAUAACUCAUCCUGCCCAUCUCUUCAAGUGUCUCAUAUCUGUCACUCUAUCUUCCUCUCUACUACCUUAGGGUGAGCCCCUUCAAUCUUCAACAUAUCCAUCAAUCUAUCCCCUUCUCUACUAGCUUAAGGUGAACCCCUUCGUCUUGUAGAACUAUAGGCUCUCUUUGUCACCAGCUAAGCCUUGGACUUCCUCAGAGUCCAUUGGCUCUUUUUCUUGAAGCCUGUUGACUUUCUCUUCCUCACAAGCCAAGGAUCAAAUUUCCUGACAGCACAUCCGCUCUGGGUGGAACCCUGCUUGUUGGCUCUGAUCGAGUUUUGCCACUGGCUCUUAUUGAGAUGAACUGAGUUUCUCAAGCGGUAACUGAGUUUCUCAAGCAGGAUGCUAUGUUGGAGUAUGUUUUCUCCCAUUUUCAUUAAAAGCCCAUUAGCUAUCCUUGUCUCCUAGUAUGCAUUUUCUCUCUUUAUUGUGGUUCUACCAUUGCUCAUCAUGCUGACUGAAGUGUCACCAAACCACUGGCUACGCCUACUACAGCUUUAUUCAAUAGAAUGAUUUUAUGGUGGCAAGAAUUUUAUGAUGAUGUAAUCUUAAAAAGAGAUAUAGAUAUGUAACCCGAAAAGAAAUUUAGUCCUUUUGUAAAUUUUUAUUACAAGUUCUAUAUACAUGAAACAUUUGUGCUGGAGCCUAGGGGUGUCCUUUUUUUUUUAUGCAUGAGUUUCUUGCCAUAUCUUUUGAAUUUCUGCAUAAAUUUGAUCUUCUUGCCAUAUCUUAAUGAUGGUCGUCUACAAAUAUUUGAUAAACAUCCAGCGAGGUACUAAAUUUCUUUAUAUCUAAAAUUGGGUUUCUGCAGAAAAUAUCAUGUUGAUCGUGUUAAUCACUUAAUUUUGUGGUCUUUUAUAGGUUAAUUGCCAAGACUGCUCGCCUUGAGGCAGAGAAAAUGCAAAAGGAGGCUGAAGUUCAGAAGCUUAUGGAAGAGAAUGUCAGGUUAACUGCUAUGCUUGAUAAGAAGGAAGCACAACUGCUGGCUAUGAAUGAACAGAUGAAGUUCAUGGCAUUGAACAGUCCUGGCAUAUAGUUCAUGAUUUACCAUCAGAAUUUUCACCUCAGGUUAUCCUAAAUGGUGAUAGCAACAUGCUAUCUAUUUUCAUUUUGCAAAUUACAUAUGCUAACAAAUCUAUUAUUGGAAAGGACAUAUGGAUGUUGAGAUCACGAUGUUUGCUAGAGAUGGGGCAAUUUGUAUCGAGCGGAGAAUUGUGCUCUUAUAAGACUGUUCAUUAGAUUAUGCAUUGUCAACAGUGCCUGCCUAUCAAUUCAUCCUUACUAUUUAGACCUUAAUUCCCAUUAUAGAUUGGUUGCUUAUCGUUUAUCUUAUGUAGAGAUGUGAUUUUGUACAGGAAAGCAUGAAGGAAGAAGGGAUGGGCUGAUCAGAAAGAUCAGUGGCAUGCCUAUAAACCACAAACCUUUGAUCCUAUCUUGUAUAUGUCCCGUCAUGCUGAUUUGGACCUCCAAUAUGUUAUAAAUCAAUCCUACAAUAUGUCAGUUCAUGGUCUCUAAUGACAAGAACUUUCUUAGAAAAUAAACAUGUUGACAUUUUGUAUGAUCCAAUAAGUUUCAAGUUCACCACUAACCAGCACAGGCAGGCAGUUCUGCUUGUCUGCCGCAGUGUAUGCCUCUAGCUGAUCUUGUGCUGAACAUGUCACUCUAAGGGCAAUUUGCCCUACUUUUCAAUAGUCUCUUUCAGGUAGUUUACAUCAUGUAUUUUAUUGAUUUCUUCAUGAAACCAAGUCCACCCUAACCAGAGAGCAGCUCCUUGGUGGCCGAAUUCUUCUGCCCAUGCCACACUUGCUCCAUGAUCUUGCAUCCUCAUUCCACAGCAUCCACCCAUCAAAUUUUUUAAUCUAUCUCUGCCUCUUUAUUUUUUAUGGCAGAGACCUCUUCUCUCUUCAUUUAAGAAAAAUACAUUAAUUCAGUAAUUAUUUCACCACGUAAUACAAUAAGGAAUGCUGAUGAUCCUGAUGAUCAAUCACCUGAGUGUAGUAAAGAUUGAGCUUCACAUUUCACACUCACAAAAUCACCAUUGACCACGAUAUACAAUUUCUAAAUUUCAAAAAGCACACAAUUAAAAAAAAUUCCAUGUAAAAUCACCGCUCGGUGUCUAAAUUUCAUUGAAAAAAAUCAAGAAAAUCAAGUUUUAUGAAGGUCUUUUACUUAAACAUUGAGUGGAAAUGGGUGACAUGGUAUAGCCUCUCACGCCCAUGCACAAAAGAAAAAAAUCCCAUGCCAAAUUACCAUUGACCAUGGUCUACAACGGCUACUUUUUUUUUUUAAAAAAAAAUUCAAGUUUGCAUGCAUGCACUCAUGCACAUGCACCAAAAAAAAAGAAAAAGGAAAGCAACAUCACCAUGGAUCAUGAUCAACAAUGUCUAAACAAAAAAGUUUUCUGAAUGUCUUUUACUUGAACACAAGUGGAAGUGGAUGAUGCUACCAUAUUAUCAAGGUGAAAGAUAUGGUAGGGCAUGCAAUUUGAGCAUCCAAACUAUUAAAAUUGAUCCGGACAUCUUUAAACGCAUAUAAGUAAUAACUCAAUAACUAUAAAUUGAAUCAGAACACAAUAUCAUACUAUUUAAAUUAUCCGCCAUGUAUCAACCUGUUGUCUACCUAGUUUCUUGGCAAUAUACGUGUUCGCCGAAGAUGUAGAUUUUCAUUUGAAAAGGUUUGUUAUUGAUUUUGUAUGGAAGUACUUGGGGCCAAUUACUUUUCGAGUACAAAGACACACACACACACCAGGACACACUUAAAUCUUCAUGGUUGAUAUUAAAACAUUUUGUAGCAGUAGGCACUGAACGCAUCUCUGAGAAAAUUGUUCAUAUUUGUUGUUCCUGUUGCUUGCAUUAGGUUUGAUUUUUGAUAUAGGUGCCUUACAUACUUUUACAGGAAUGGCUUAACUUUGCGAUAACACUAUUUUCGUUAAAUAGUCCUUUUGGACACGAGAUUUUUUGCCUCCAUAAAGGAGUAAGAAUAAAGUGAUAAAACUCAAUGAUGCCUAUCUAUGUAAAGAAGAAAUGCUCGGUCGUUCUUGAACUCUCUCAUUGUGGUUUGCUUCAUGUCACAGAAAUGGAAUGCUCCACUGCAUUGUAAAAAUUAUAUCAAGUACACUCCUAGGAGUAGAAUGGGGUCCAUUACAUUGCAUCAUCUCAGGUUCUCUCUUGGAGAGCCUAGCGUUUGGAAUCACAAAGCUGCUGAAUGAAGAGCAAUUUGUUGUCUUUUCAAGGAUCAAUUGAUCGAGAAAAAAAUUUGAUAGCUCAUUUAGGCCAAGUUAAGCAGAGGUUGAUUAUGAGUCAUCUUUCUGCAGUCCGAAGCAUUGCCAACUUCCUGAGUUUUUUGUACAUCACCAGAGGAACCUUUUUAUAUCCCAGAACAAUAAUCUUCCAAGAUUCCAGUUUUCAAGCGUUUAUAACUUUUUAAGGGACUUCAAUUCCUGCAACAGUAGGUUCAGCUGUGAUUCACAUAAAUUGGCCAUGUUUUGACAAUUCAAUUGAUGAUAACUAGCUAUUGAGGAUCUACUUAUCCUUUGCUUGAUAAUCCAAUCAAUGUUCCUAGCAAUUUUUACAUGCUCUAUUCCGAACUAAUCGAGUACACAAUGAACUGCUACAAAUUACAGAUUUUAGGCUUUAAAGACUUGGCACUCUUCGUUUCAUGUGACAACAGGCUGUCUGUUGAAUUAUUUGGAUUUCAUUGGGCAAGGUUCUUCUGGGGCAGCUUGUGUCUAACAUCAGUGUGCUGGGAGCUGUAAGUGCCUAUAGGUUGAUGCUUUUUUCUACUGAUAUUCUGAACAUUGCACUUUAGCUUACUCCACCUAAAAAACCUAUCAUGUGCAAAGUGACCAGCUAGUAAGGCAUCUUCCACAUUGCCACUAUGAUUUCCUCUCAACCUAUGAUUAGUUCGGGAAGACUCAUAAUAGGAAACAGCCCAAGAUCCCUUGCAGUGUGCGGUUUGCACCGCAGAGUGCCGCGCCGCACUCGAUGGCUGCCAUCAGAAGAUGGACAGGUGUGUAUGGCAUGCAAAGUUAUUUUGUUUGAUAGCCAUCCGAUGGUCAUUGAGUUCCGCAUGACAGACCAUUCACCAUAGAGGAUCUGUGCUCCUCAGUAGGAAAAGACCUUCCCAUUCUUUCAGAGAAUAGUUUGAGAAAGUCUGAAAUUUUUAUUCUUCUUGGAUGUGGGUGUUCCCUCCACUCAGCUUUCUUCCAGUCAGGAUAAGGGUCACUUACUAUAGUUUUUGAGUGCAUGCAGGCUCAUUGGUUGACCCUCUGAAACUCCCUUUCUUGCCUCCUCCUCACGGACAUUCUCCCAUCACGAGUGACACUUUUUGGUAAGAUAAAUCAAUUCUGAAAUGGAAGCUUCGAUUCUAGUUUGCUUUUCCUCUCCACCGUGAAUUGUGCUUCUCUGAGUAGUGACAGGACUUUCAUAGACUGCAGGACUAGAAUUCUAGGAGGUUAAAAAAAUAAUUGUUUCAAGAAAAAGGGGCUUUCUUACGAACUGGUAUUGGAGUUCAUGCUUUUCAAAAGGUUAGGGAUGUCUCCUCCAUCGUGGUUGUAGGGGAUGCACUUGUCCAAGUAGUGUGACACUUUCACUUCUGUGUUGACCUUCGCAAAUUGAGAACAUUCAGACCUUUCAUCAUAAAUAUAGCCAAAUGCUGAGGUCUUCCCUCAAAACAUAAUGAUUCAUUGAAUGCUAUCUUCACAGUUCAUUUGAUGACUUCUUUAUGGACUCCUUCCAUCACAAAGAUGGCCUGAGCACUGUAGCCAUGGCUAGCUAGCCUCAUUCCAGGCAUUGGCUUUUACGAGUCCUUUGUCACCGUCCAUUGUCAUCAGAGGUCAUGUUCUCAUUCAGUGCUAUGGAUGUCGAAGGAGCACCAGUAGAGAUCAAGCCAUUUGGAUGGUGCCAAUUGCUGCAAAAGUUACUUUCACAAAUAAGCCAAGACUAGGCUUGGGUAUAUAGAUGAGUGGCACGGCCAAAAAGACUUGGAUUUAAAUAUCUAAGCGCAUUUAGAUGCCAACACUAAAGUUCACCUUCCUUAGAUUCUUCAGAGUCACUGAGGCAUUGCCCAAGUUGUCACAUGGAGCUCAAUGUGAGGUUGAAAGUAGUCACCUUUUCGACAUUACAAGAGAAGAGCUACGGCUAUGGAGAAGUUUUAUAAGAGCUCAUGCCAUGUAACAUGAGGAAGUGGCAAAGCAGCAGGAGGGUGCUUUAGUGAUAAGUGGCUUCCACUGCCAUAUGAUUAUAGGAAACGCUAGGGUAAGGAGCAGCCAUAGAGCACUUUGUGAGUGUUGGGCUUCAUAAGGUCUCCCCUCAAAUAAGAGGCUCACAUGCGUGCAAAGGGGAAUCGUUGAGUUGACCUCUGACAAGUCCUCUUCUUUGUUUUUCUCCUCCGUUGCAUCGCACAUUCGUUACCUUCUAAUGAAACUCGGACUCUAGAUGUUGUUUUGAUUGUUCCCUACGUUAUCAUCAUUCACUAUAACCAUGUUUUGCCACAAAAGAGAAUAUGUCCCCAAUCUAGACACAUGAACUCACCUAUUUUAGACAUCUCCAGUGAUGAAGCACUGAGAUUUACUCAUCUAAAAUUAUAUGUUUUACCUUCUCCCUCGGCCGAGAUGAACUUGUUUUACAAGUGGAAUGAACAAGAAAAUCAUAAUCUUACAGGCUAGGAUUCGGGUCACUCAGGGAAACAUGGGAACAGAUGGAGCCACAAAGUUUUAAGAAUAACAAAAACGUAGGAAAAGAUGAUGUCUCAAAGUUUUAAAGGAUAACAAUGGAUGGGCUGAUGUGUUCGUAUUGACAAUAUGAACUACUUUUGUCCCCUAGUCGUUGACCUUUGGGCAUAUGGAUAGGCACGCGGACCAGAUACUCGUGGUUCUUCCUGUGGUCUUCUUCAAGUAAUGGUGAAAGGUUGAAAGAACCGUACUUCCACAUGAUGCAGCCCUGAUCUCGUUGAAACUUUAUCCAAAAGAACAGAGUCAGCUACCGCCAGUGAGCUUUGGUAGUCUANNNNNNNNNNNNNNNNNNNNNNNNNNNNNNNNNNNNNNNNNNNNNNNNNNNNNNNNNNNNNNNNNNNNNNNNNNNNNNNNNNNNNNNNNNNNNNNNNNNNNNNNNNNNNNNNNNNNNNNNNNNNNNNNNNNNNNNNNNNNNNNUAUAUAUAUAUAUAUAUUCUAGGCUACUUCACCGUUGAAGAAGUGAUUUGACCCCCUCUCCUUGCCUCUCUAUAUCUAUGGUUUUAUAUAAAUCCUGACGUAUUCUAUCUUGCAUUAUGUUUAGUGUUUUUCAAAGUCUCUGUUAAUUUAAUUAUUUAUCACUUCCCUUUGGCCGGGAAUUCUGCUUGUUUUUAUUUUUAUUUGUAAACUUCAUGAUGUAGAUGGGUUUGUCUAUAUUGUUUUUGGCCAGAAUGACCAUAAAAUAGCGAGACAUAUUUAUAGUUCUAAAUGAGUCAGUUUAAUAUAAUCGAAUUAUAAUUCUCGUUUUUUCAAUAGUUGGCACUUGACGAAACAUUUUGUCAUCAUUGAUCAACUUUAACAACAAUUAUGGCAUUUAGAGAUCGUCUAUUGUUCAAAGUCAACAUUAUGAGUUCAUGAGUGAGCUUAAGAACCAUGGACAAUUUGUGAUUUCCGUGAGUCAGCAGAACUCGCAGAUGUUUCAAUGGAUCUCAGAGUAAUGGGUGUACACGAGGCUGAAAAGAAGCUGAUUGUUGUUCCAAAGGUGAGGCUGCCUAAUUGGCUUAUCUUGGUGUUUUAAUUGGAAAGAUUCAAGAUUGUGAGGAAGAAAUGACAAUUUUCUCUGUACUGGCGCAAUUGAACUUAAGGUUGAAAGCAUAUGAUUUUCUUUACCCCCGGUAAUUGAAUUGUUUCUAUUUUCAUCAAAAAAACAAAAAAAAACAACUGUAGCUAUUAGGUAAUGGGAAUUUGCCAAUUAAAUUUCAAAGCAUAGUUGUUCUAGACAAUUCACUCUAUUCGGUAUUUUUAUUCAAAUGGAACAAGAUGAUUACACAUCUAGCUAUUGCGAUCGGCGAUAAUUCAGCGUUUGCUUCUUCGUUAGGUGCAAGAGAGCUGUAACCUCUGUGUUUAAAUCCUCUAGCUGCCUGCUCAAUCCUCUUAUGCUGCAGAACUCGUUAUGAUUUGACUAGGUGGCUUGCUGAAUCAGAUUAUGAUCUCUUGAAAAUGAGAACUUUUAAUGGUGGGAGUUCAGCUUAAUCCUACCAUUUACCAAAAGGUGUUUCUAUUCCCUGCAACUAUGAAUUAUAAUAUAUUUUGUUAGUUACAUGGUUUGAGGAAAAGAUAGUAUAGUUACAGAAUAGCUCUUACUACAUGUUAUAUUUGAAAAGAAACCACACAAGAGCUUAAUCAGAAACACAAGAUUGCGUUUUACUCUCUAAUCUCCACUAAGCUAAAAAAACUUAGAAUAUUUGGUGGCACAAUUUCAUUGCAGAGGAGGCAUAGCUCAUUAGGCAUUGCUCUAAAUCCCUAUUAAUCAAUUGAUUGUAUUGCCCUGUCUCACCGAGACACGAGGCAUCAAUCAUUGAUGGCCUGAAAGAUACUGGCUUCUCUUUCCCUCCCUGAAGCUCUAAAAUUCCUCUCUUUAAUGCAUGGGACAAACCUUCAACAGUGUAGGGUUCAGGUGUGUGCUGGAAUCUAGAGGCGGAGGGGAUUUAGUUUGAAGCCUGUUUCUUUCUUUAUGUCAUGUCCAUUUCAGGGACCUAGGCAAGUGAGCUUUCUUCCCCAUUAGAUUCUAGAGUUAUGUGUCCUUUUCUCCUAUCAUUUCACCAUCACUUGAUUGUAUAUCCCAUGUAGUAUACCUAACUGCGUUCCAACUCUCGCAAAAGUUUGUGUUUGGUAUGAGGAAAGGUUUUGGAAUUCAGGAGAGAGAAAAGAAAAAUCAAAAGUUUGAAAAUCUUUGAAAAUUAUCAAUGAGAAUGCCAAUAAAAUAUGAAAAAUGAAAGGUUGUCGAACAAUCAUUUAUUCACAUGGAAUCAAAUUCGAGAGAUGCUGAUGAAAAAAAGGAACACCAUCAUCAACAACAUAUAAUAGCGGUAACUUAUAAUUUAUAUAGAUUCCUUUGACAUGGUUGUCAAUAAUUUGUAAAUAAAUUGUAAUAUUUGUAAACAAUGCAUGGAAUAAUUGAGUAUUUCUUGAUAUUUGCAUUUGCUAAGGAUAAUUUGAAGAAUCAUUUGGUGAAGGAAAAAUCUAGAAUUGUUUGAGGAUUUUUUUUGAAAAGAAUAUUAUUUUACUAGAAUCUAACACAAGACAUCAACGUAUUGGUUUUUAUUUCCAUAGAUCUUAUCCUUUGAUUUUGAAAAGAAAAGGUCAUAACAAACCACAUUUUGAUUGAAGUUUAUGUUGGAGCCAUAAAACAAUUAUCACAUUCAAGAUGGUUUUCCAUCACCAUACAGAGAUUUUUGUAAACUACUAAUAUUAGAAUUUUGAAUAUGGUUCAUUAAGUUAAUUCUAUGCAAAAAGAGACAUUCUGGUACACUAAUUUGUCUUAUUAACUUGGCGCUUUUGUUAGCAAGAAUCUUUUAUGAAAGAAUGACAACAAAAAUGAGAACCAUGCAUUAAAAAGAGUCGGAAACAUUUUGGUCAAAAUUGGUCGGGGCAAGGUUGGUGGUAAAAUCUAGUGCAUUGGCAACAAAGUCCAAGGUCAUGUCCCCCACCCUUCUCAUCUUGGUCUCUUCAAUGUUUAGCUUCAAAUUCUCAGAUUCCUUCCAAGCGAGCAUGGAUGGAGCCGCCCCUUAUCCACAAAUCUCGCACCUCAACCACUCAUCCCAGCCACCAACCUCGGCCUCCACGUCUCAUCAUCCCCAUGGGUUCUGCCCAAGGCCACGUCUUCACCACUCCCCAAGAAGGCCUGGAAAAAUUUGGACUGCAAAGCAAUCCCCAAUACUAUCUCUCCACGUGUCCUUUAGGUGGGCCCAAUCUAAAUCAAAUAUUUCAGGCUUCUUCGUGUGUGCUCUCAUACCAUAUUGAAAUCACCACUUAUCCUAAAAGAUUAAGCUGGUAGGAUGAAAUAUAAAAUAUAAUAUAAAAAUAAUAAAUAUUAAUUAUAUUAAUAUUAAUAUCGCUAUGGAAGACAGGAAGGGAGAUGAAGAAGUAUCUACAAGUGAGUUUUGGUAACAUUGUAAUCAUAAAAUAAUAAAAAAAAAGUUGACCCCCAAAAAUGAAGGCGAAGACGAGACCUACUUCAACAUCACGGAUGAAAAGAAAAGGAAUAGACGACGAAAUAUGUAACAACUUUAUGCCUUGCGGACAUUCAGAUUAGAGGAAGAUUUUUUUUUAAAAAAAAGGAAAAAAAAAUACAAGGACCAAGCUUGAGUAUUUGUCAAUAUAUGUGCGCGGUUUAGUCAACGGGCGAUUUCCGACUUGGGCGAGUGGCCUAACUGCUCCAUCUCCCAACUGAGCUUCGGUGCAACGCCGUCGUGCAUCGGCAUGUAUUCCUGCAUGUCAUGAAACAAUUGAGAACUGUUUCAUUCCUUAUUUGUCUUUUCAGAAACUAUAGCCUUCUAAAUAUAAAAAUUAAAUUUUUUUUUAAAAAAAAAGCUUGUAGUGACCCAUUACCCAUUCAACUUUUUCCCAAAAAAAAAAAGUUAAGAUGAUCUUUCUAAAUAGUCUUGAUACAGUUAGUAACUUAAGACACAAUCUUUUUCCAUUACAAUCUAAUGGCGAGUGCUUAUAAAGUUAGCCAUUUCAUAUUAUUUCUUUACACACAGUAAUGCUUGCUUGUAUACUAGCUUAUAUUUUCAUACAUAUUUUUCCUUGUUAUAUAGAUAAAACAAAGAAAAAUAUUUGGUCAACAAGAUUAAAUAUAAAUUACUGCCAAUUCUAUGGUCAGAAAUAAAGAAAAGAGUUUUACCUUCAAACAGAUAGUGGGACAUAAUAAUUGUUUACCAAUCAAAAAGUUGACAUCUUCAUUAUGUUAAAGAAAAAAACAUGAUAAGAUUUAGGUAUAAAUAUGAGAAAUAAAUAUAAAAAAAUAAAAUAUAUAAAUAAAUCUAUCUUAUUCUGUUAGCUUAAAUUUUUGGGAUAAGUGGUAAUUUUUAACAUGAUGUCAGAGCUUAAGUUUUUGGAAUAAGCGGUGAUUUUAACAAUAAAUUAUAACUUCAAAAUAUUGCGGUGAUCAAGAAUACAUUAUAGAAGAAAGAGAUAGAAAAGAAGGAAAAACUUUCUAACCAAAUUAAGUAUGGAUGGGAAAAUUUAUGAAAGACUGGUGGGAAGGGAGAGCAACAAAAUACCUCAAGCUUGUAUAAUAACUCAUGGGCAGUUUGGGCAGAGAUGAUGAUAUGGCGGGCAGCAGGUGUAACAAAUCCUUCAUCUACAGCCUUGUCAAUGAAUGACAGCAGAGAGUUGUAGUAGCCAUCAACGUUCAACAGACCUACCUGUCCAAAACAAACGCCCACGCACGUAUAUAUUAAGACGAUAUACUACCAUUCGCAGUGCCAUUUUUGUAGCUACCAGGCGAUUAAUAUAUCCGUGUGACAAAGCAAGAAGAGCCAGGGGAAGAAAAAUUGGGAGGCUAAAGACUAUUCAAAUCUUAAAUGAAUGGGCUUCUGCUUGUGAGAAGUAUAAGAAAUAUAAACAAUUAAGGGGUCUUACUGGCUUGUCAUGGAUUCCCAGCUGAGCCCAGGUUAUCACUUCAAGGAGUUCUUCCAGGGUCCCAUAACCACCUAAUCAAAAAAAAAAAAACUCAAAAUUUAAAGUAAUGGGCAUGCAUCUCACACAUGUAGCUACUAGUGUUAAAAAAAAAAAAGGAACACCAUAAUUGGAGCCUUGGCUUGGAAACAGUCUCAAUCUGAUGCCUCAAAAAAUAUAUGUAACAACUUGACCCUGAAAACUCAGCAAAUCAUCGAUCCGGAUGUAAUAAUCAUCCAAUCAAGAUGACUUUUGAGCUAUCAGGAUCUUUCAUAGGUUAAUGAGGGCCAAUAUUUUCCAGAAUUGAACUUUGGAUCCAGCAAAAUAGCAUUCUGGAUUGCACAAGCCAAAAAAGUUGAUACACUGUACAGAUCCAAGAUUUGUUGAUGUUAUGCGAAACUAGGAUGCUUGUGCGCAGGACAACACUGAUCAUUCCUACUGGUGACUCCCUUUUUAAGUUCACUUUGUGGAUCCUUACCGGGCAAAGCGAUGAAGGCGUCCGCAUGGCGAGCCAUCUCGGCCUUCCUUUGGUGCAUGCCUGAGACUGCUCUCACCUCUCCUACAGUCUCUCCUGUUAUCUGGAAUAUCCAAAUCUAUUUAGUUACUCUAGAGAACUAAACUAAAUGAUAAUUAUGUAGAAGCGAUAAAUUAUCGAUCGAGCAGUUUUAUUUUUUGGAAUUACUUCUUGAUGGUUGUAUUGUAACAGAUACGAACUGUAUGCAGAGAGGGAAAAAAAUUUCUGUAAAACUGUAUUUAGAGAGAAGAAAAGGAUAAAGAAGGGGAAAAAAUAUAUAUGAUACCUCUCGGGGCAUGAGAGUUUUGGGAAUGACCCUGCAAGACACCCAAAAACCAGACGAGUUAUUGUUUGACUCUCAGAGAGAGAGAGAGAGCGAGCGAGCGAGCGAGAGAGCGAGCGAGCGAGAGAGAGAGAGAGAGAGAGAGACGACCCGAACCCAAACAGUNNNNNNNNNNNNNNNNNNNNGAGAGAGAGAGAGAGAGAGAGAGAGACCGACCCCAAAACAUGGCGGCCUCCAUCAUAGACCGCUUGGGAGACAAGGCCCAUGAGACCAACACUUCCCCCACCAUAAACCAAGUCUAUGUUCCUCUCCACCUGCAAACAAAGCAUGAGCAGAAAACAGAGCAUGAUCCUAUAUCAGUUUUUAUAAACAAUUCCACUUCUAAGAAAAAAAAAGGAGCAAUACUCCAAAUGGAUUUUGUUCCAGACGACCAUCUCAGCUCACAUUUGGUGAUUCAAUCCUCUAAUUUGGCCAACUGUCCUCCCUUUUGUCCUCCUCUUGUGAGGUUAGCACCAUUAACCUCACAAGUGGUGAUUCUAAAGCAUAAUUACAAGAAGAAGAAGAAGAAGAAGAAGGAUAAAAGACUGACCAGUUCAUGGCCGAGCUGGAUGGCAGCAAGCUGGUAGCUGGGCUUGUUUCCAGGGCUACUGCCACAGAAGACACACACCCUUCUGAACCUAGAGGAGGACCUUUUGGGCAUCAAUUGGCUUGGCGGCAGAGUCUGUGCUUGGGUUUCCAUGAAGCCAACCAAAGGAUAGCUCAAAUAUUUGGAACUCAGGACCUCUCUGUUCCUAUCCUAUAAGGUUUUAGUGAGCUUUAUGUGAGACUCUGCUCCUCUUUCCCUACAGUAUUCUGUUUCUCCCCCCUUCAGCUUCCUCUUGUAUUUAUCAUGAGAGCCACAGUACAGAGAGAGAGAGAGGAAGAUAGGCUUUCUUUGGAGGCCUUUUAAACCCAUUGACUGCCUGGAAAAAUUUGUGUGGAGUUUGGACUUUGGACUUUAUUUUUCCAGAACGAAAAAACCAUAAUUGAUUAUAACAAAUAAGGUAGGCUUAUAUGGUAUGUAUGGGGACUCGUUAGGUGAAUGUUAAACAUUCCGCAGGAACAUCCAACCAUGCGUUUUGAUAGGGUAGUACAGGAUGACACCAUCUCUUUGUCACCUUGUUUUCUUGCUUCUCGUUCUAUUCUAUUUUUAAUAGAUUUUUAGCCCGUUCAGAUGCAGCCGUGUCAUCGCGAUGGGAUGGACCUUCAGCUUUUUCGUUGUGGCAUGUUUCCCGCGUGGGAAACCAUCCACCCUGUCGAAGGAUAACUAAUAUAAAUUGAAAAAUUAAGAUUAAGAAGAUAUUUUUUAAAAUACAUUCAUUGCUCGUAUUAUAAAUUGAAAAUAUAGCAAUAUCAAGAAAUAUUAAUAUAAGAGAUAUAAACUUAAUAUAAAAGAUUAAAUAAGCUAUGCAAAUAGUGAUCUUGUUAAAUAAUAGUUAUUGGGUCCCAUGAUACCAUAAAGUCAUCAUAAUAGGUAUACAAUAAUAUGCUCAUUUUCUUAUUUAUUAGACGAAUGGCUUGGUGGCUACAUGUUCGCGCUCGAGCUAUGAAUAAUUUCAGUCUUCUUAUAUUUCAAAAGAAUUAUUUUUAAUAUAUCUAGAUAUAUAAUUAUAAAAAACUUAUUUAAUAUUUUCAAAUAAUUUUUUUUGAUGAAAUUAUAAUCGUCUAUUAGUUUUAUAACUCUUCUUUUUUGAUAAUGCUAUAUGCGUCAUACAUGCCAAUUUUUUCUUCUAUUUAUCAAUUUUUUCUUAUAUAUAUUUAUUGUAAAAAUUAUGAUAUCAUCCAACCAAUUAAAUCUCCGUGUAGCAGCCCAGUAUAAUAUCAUGUAGAAGGUUAUUGCAUGACGGGAGAGCAUGUAAGCAAAUUAAAAAAAAUAUUUUUUUGAUAUUUUUUUUAAAAUUUUUGAUGAAAACUUAAAGAGCAUUAUCAACAAUUGACAAUGAUCCAAUUUUCAAAAGAAAAUCGGUGUAGUUCCAAAUGAAUCAAACAUGUGGAGAGUAUGAUUUCUAUUAAUUCAAGAACUGACAACUUUGUUUUUAUCCCCUCUCCAACUUCUUCCUUUCUUCUUUUUUUUUUGCCAUGACUCCAACUUCUUUCUUUGUCAAUGCAAAUAUUCCUGGAAGCUGCAAACUUUCGGCGGGCCGGCGUUUGCUUCAACAUCCUUCAGCCAAGCAGGCGAUUCCUUUUCCGAAACUUUUUAACCUUUCCGACCCUCAUCCAGAGAUGGAGGACGCUUUCAACUUUGAAGAGGAAUAUCACAUGCUCUCUCCACCCUUCUUCAUGGCCUUCUUCGCCUCUUAUGAGUUCUAACACUACAUUGUGAUGUGAUGUUGGCCCACAACCAAAGGCAAUGGAGGAGUGGAUGGAACAGAUCAAUUAAAGUGUCCCCUCGGAGGACUGAAAUCUUCCUGCCUUGCUGCUUUUCCUAAAGCCGAAGGCUAAAUGGAUACCAACGUUGGUAGGGAAAGGCUUAAAAGAAGACACUACCGCAUGCUGUUCUUUCUGUAACCAUGCAUUUUUCCGCUGGCCAUCCAUUCAUCCACCUCCUUUCUUGUGUCACAUCUUAUUUUGAUACAAUAGCAUUGCUAGAUAGGCAUGCAUGUAAUUUUAGGGCUAAAAGCGAGUCGGGUUAUAUCCAACUGUAUCCUUUUUCGUAUUCGAUUCAGAUUGGAUUCAGAUACUAAUUUUUUAGUCCGAUCAGAUCCAGAUACGAAUCGGAUACUCGAUUUAAAAAUCUUCUGGACUCGGAUACAAAUGCAGAUACCCCCGAUUUUUUUUUUAGAUUUGGAUCUAGAUCCAAAUAUCCGUAUAACAAAGGAAGUGAAAAGAAAAAAUCUAAGUUAAGUCAGAAAAUUAAUUAAGUGAUUAACCAAAUCUAAACUAAAAAAAAAUCAUAUAUCAGAUGCCUGUCACUUAUGACGGUAACAUAAAUAUAAAAAAUUUAAAUAAAAUUCUUCGAAUCACCACGCAUGCCUAAAAUGCUCAAAUCUUUUGUUCGUCCGUUUUGUCUCUCUUUUCUCUUCGUCGUUUUCCAGCAACCAGGGUUUUGAAGAUUCCGUCCACUUUUUAGUUUUCACCGACAAUUGUAACUAGCGAAAGCCAUGAUGCCUUGGAGAUACCAUAGAUCCCGUCUAUUUCGGUGAUAAGCAACCUUGAGCGGUAUAUCAUGUAUAAAAUUGUUGGUUUUUAUUAUUGAUAAAAGUUUAUUAAAAUUAUUUUUUUAAUUGAUUUUUUUUUUUACGGUCAUAUCUUUGUUGCUAGUUUUCAUUAUUGAAUUUUGCUCAAAUUUAAUUAAUAUCCAAAAAAAAUAUCUGAUUUAUAUCCGUAUUCGGAUAGAAAAAUAUGAAUAUGUUUAAUAUCUGAUUCAUAUCCAUAUCUAUUUAGAAUAAAUAUGGAUAUUAAUAUUAAUAUUUGUUUAAUAUCGGUAUCUGUAUUCGUAUUUAUUAAAAAAUAUGGAAAUAAAUAUGAAUAUAUCAAUAUGCGAUCUGUUUUCAGCCCUAUGUAAUUUGCAGUCAUGCAUCAACUUGGCAAGAAGGAAUGCAGCUUUUCUUGGCUUAAACAAGCUUAUUCAGGCUUGUCUCAUGGCAUUUCAGGCUUGGUCUUUAGUCGGGAUAUAAAGAAAAAAUUUCAAGUCUAAGCUCGGCCAAAAUAAGAAAAAUUCCAAGCUGAGCUUGAGCGGCGAUGUGGCCCAAGCCGGCCUAGCCUGAUUUCUCUCUUUCUUUCUUCUGCUUCUUCUUUCUUACUUACUCCAGUUGGAGCCAGACAGGUAUAAGCUAUUUCCCGAGACAUUCAUAAGAUCCCUCAUGGUCAUGGGCGUAUGGGAUUAGUGCGACAUGACCAGAAUCACUUGCAUCUACAAGGAUAUGCUGAAGAGGACAACGAAACCUAUGAGUGAAUGCGAGAUAUAGUAUUGAUUUGGUUGUUUUCAAAAGGAAAGCAUCCCCAAAACUGGGUCCACGGACAUGUUUUCCGCAUGGGAUUUUUAUAUAAUGUUGGAUCUUCCUUUCUAUAAAAUUUAUAUUAUUUUGUCAAAAGUUGCAUUCCAUCAAUGAAAGCCAAAACCAUGAUAUCGCACCAUAGCCAAGUUCCACAAGGGACAUUACAACCCACCAACUUAGUCGAGAAGAUGGUUUUAACGAAUUCUUGGCAAUUUUUUGAUCGGACAUAUAUAUAUAUAUAUAUAUAUAUAUAUAUAUAUAUAUAUANNNNNNNNNNNNNNNNNNNNNNNNNNNNNNNNNNNNAUGACCCGUGCAGGCAUAUGUUUAGUUCCACAUCGGUUAUUCGCUAGGUAGAUUUUGAGUAUAAGAAACUCAAAUAAUACCUUUCGGCUAACUAUUUUGGAUGAAGUUCUGAAUUGUUACAUAUAUCGAUGUAUUUGAGAGGAAUUAAAAUAAUGUGCCUAGAGUACCAAAGGAGAUAGUAAUUGUUUUUCUAUUUAAGCAAUUGUUUAAGAUGAUCCUCCCCAAGGAAUAGAAAAGAAUUACAAAUCAAUAGAAAUAUGGCUUGAAGAAUACAUUACAUUAAGACCAUUUUUAUUUUCUUUUAUCUUACUACUCUUAUUGAAAAUUAUUCCACAUUACCUAAUGCAAGCCUUUUUUUACUUUGCAGACAUUUAUACACAAAACUUCCACUAUUACGCUAGUCUUAUUCCUUUUCCAUUAGUUUAUUUACAAUACUUUAAUCGCUAAUAUUCUGUCCAAAACCACUUUUUUAAAGUGGCUAAGAGUUCUCUCAAGAUUUAAUUUAUGUACAUUUGGAUGGGACAAACUGCGGACUGUUGGCACAUAACAUUUUUGAAUUUGUAUCUAACUGGACAACUGGAUCUAUUCAAUACAUUAAAAUACAUUGACCCGGAAAUCUUGGGACACUCUCUGUAGCAGCAUUACAGCUAUAUAGUUAGUGUAGGAGUAGAAUAGUUGCCCACACUUGCAAUGCUUUUGUAGAGGAAGCUUCAUAUGCCUCUGAAUAUCAUAAAUAUAGAAGAUAAAUUGUACUGCAGCCAAACUACAAAACUAUGCCAAGCUUUUAGUGACCUACACAAGUGGCAAGCUUCAUAAACUAGCUUGCAUGUGCAUUAACUUAUUGCAAAAUAAUUAUACUAUUAUUUUAUCUAUAGUAGAACCGUGAGAAACCUUAUCAUUAUUCUCAAAAGAGGAAGAGAAAUAAAGAAUGCGAGAAACCAAAUUUCCGGUCCUAUGAUUAAUAAUAACUUAAUAUAUAGUCAUAUUGACCAACUUUUUUUUUUUUU
rnacentral:lncRNA from 1 species